GUUCUCCGGGAGGCUGACUUCUACUUCCUCACGGAUGCGGGAGACAGGGUAAGCCCUUCCAGCCUCCCUCCCCGGUCGGGAGGCGUUGCUAACUAAGCAGCCAGCCAAAAGCAGAGGGGACCACCUUGCAGUAAUUUGUCCUGAGAUCAUCACCUGUAUAUACUGCAAUGCCAAACCAGAUUCCAGCACCAUUGGGCCCAAUGGAUCUAAAGCUAAAAGUUUCGUGGGGUUUUUAACACUUUUCCUUGGGACCACUUAGAAGCCUCCCAUUUCAAAUGGAUUGCAAUGCUUUUCUAGCCAAGUACCGAGGAAUACGAGAUUUUCGGAUAUACUGUUCUGUAAUAAAACUGUUAGCAGAAUUUAAGAUCCUGUUUUACCUGCAACACAUGCCGUAGAAGACCCCCCACACUGUUUGCUUUAACACUAUCAGUAUCAUUAGUGUUACUGAUAAAUUCUCCCUCAAAGUUUCAAAAACUAUAUUCUUGUGCAAUUUUAAUAAAAACACAAAGUAAUUAUGCCAGUCUUUUAUAUGUGCUCUAGAACUUUUCGUCCUUUCUAAUGUGUUAGGGCUGUUCUUCACAAUUUAGCAGUCUUGCUUAACAAGUCCCUCAGUGCCAACUUUUCUGUGAAUUACUCUGAUAAGUACAAUGAGAAGCUAUUGCAAUGAAAACAUUAUACAAUAAAGAGAACUGUGGCAGGAAAGAGUUAAGUUUCAUUCAUUCAAAAGUGCCCUUUCAUAAGUCUAAGAGGCUUUGGCUUGUGGGAGUAGGAUCUCUAAGGCUUUGUUGGAGGGUUUGGGGUGCGUGGCUUACUUUUCAGGACUUGUCAGGUGUUAUGCAAAUAAAGAGGAAAAUCUGGGCCCUACUUGGUACUCAAGACAGUCCAUCCAUUAUUACUUAGAAAACGUUUUUUUCCUGCGUUAAAGCUUCAUUAUCGUUUCCCUCUUAAUGAAGUGACUGGGGAUGGGGGUGAGUAGGCGCAGUACAGGGUGGGAGGAGGUCGUGGGGAGAGAAUGGAGAGGAGUGUUCCUGGCUUCUGUUGUGGAGUCUUUUCUAUUUGACUUCAUGGUUGUAAGUAUUUCCAGAUGGUGAAUCAGACACCAGACGUAACAAUAUUUCCAUAUUUGGGUAUAGCAGUAGCCUGCGUUUUUAACAUUUUUCUGCCUCUGUUAUCCAACCACAAAGCAUUCUUGACAGCUUCAAAUGUUGUUAAAUAUAGACUUAACUUCUGUUCCCAGAGCAGGAAAUUCUUUGGAAUUCCUUGUUUUUCACGCAAUCUGUCUAUCAUGAUUUAAAAUAAAAUUACAAUGGAUGAUCCAACUGGCCAGUGUAUAUACCUUGCUUGCUCCUUUAUUGAGGGGGACGGGAGAUAUGCAAAGAGAUUCAGUCUGCCGCACAGCUUUGAAACACAGGCCAUUCCAGAGAUUCCUUUAAAAAUCAGAUUAAAGUUUUCUAACAAGGGUGUGUGGGUUUGUGUCUGGGCUUCAGUUGGGGAAUCUUGGAGGAUGAGUUUGCCCUGGAGGAGAAACUUAGAGAACCUUACCAUCAGCCGCCCAUUUAAAGCUGCGAGUAUGUUGGGGUGGGGGGGUGGGGGAGGGGAGCUGGAGCAAACCGGGCCAGGAGGUGGGGGAGAGGGAGAGACUGGAGCAACCUAUGUGCACAGCCUUUCCAUAUACUGCGUCCUGGUGUGCCUGCUAGUAAACGACGGCAUCGGACCAGAGGAACAGCAGCUCCUCACGUCCGGCUUCAGGACGGUCCAGAAACCCCAGACGUCCCGUCGCCUUCUCGCCUUCUUCGCUCAGGGCUGCAGAUCAGUUCACGUUGACAGAUUAGAGGAAAAUGUGCAAAUGUUUAUGGGUAAGUGUCUUCGGAUGCUAAUUCUGCAUGUUUCUUUUGCUCUUUUUCCUCACUCCCUCCCUGCAUGCGCGCCCCAUGAUGGAAUAACGGGCCGCCUUGUUUCCUUGUGCUGCAAGGCACAGAGAAGGAGCUGCUUGUUGUCUUCAGCAGCUCCCAGGUUUGAGCUGAGUGAUGGGGACAUCUCUCACUCGCUGCUGCCAGGGAAUUUUAGGUCACCAAAAGAAGGGCUCACUGUCUGGCGGCAACUGAGAAUAAGAAUCACCCUAAAACUGACGACUCCGGUUUCCUAGCCCUAGACCAGUGGUUCUCAAACUUUGGCGUGUCUCAGAAUCACCUGGUGGACUGAUUAAAAGACUGAUUGCUGGGCCCUACCCCAGAAUUUCUUAUUAGCUACAUUUCUAACAAGUACGCAGGUGAUGCUGCGGCUGGUGGUCCUGAGAACCACAGCCUUGGACGGUUAGGAGUGCUUCUAAUAGCCGUGUGCAUGUGCGUGCGUGUGCUCUCGUAGUCAGGUGCUCUCGCCCGCACACCCAGGCUCACAACUUACACCUGUUACAGCCACUUGAAUGAACAGGACAAUUUGUGGUGACGACGAAAGGCCGGCUUUAAGGUGGCGCCGCCGGGCCAUCCCUUCCACCCCGCCGCGUUCCCCCACCCCCACCCUGGGCAGUGAUGGCAGGGAGCGCCACAGGUAAUCCGGCUGACCGCGGGAACUGGACGGCUGGCGCGCGGGGAGGGCCUCGGCUGCCCCGGGGGACCGCUGCGGAGACCGGGUGCGGGGUCCACGCGGCUGGGGGACCCGGGCUGGGGCGGUCCGCGCACCAGGCCGCUCGCUGCCCGCCGCCCCCUGCCGGCUGCCCGGCCCGCGCGCCCUGAGUCGCCGCGGUGGGCAGGACUCGAGGUUUCCGGCGCGCGCCGCCGCAGGACGUUUCCAGCCCCGGCCCAUAUUUGGUGAAAGUCUUUCAGGACUCCGUCAUCCAGCUCCGGGGGGCGGCGGCGGCGGCGGCACUGGGAGCGGGUCCGGCGACGGCGCGGCCGNNNNNNNNNNNNNNNNNNNNNNNNNNNNNNNNNNNNNNNNNNNNNNNNNNNNNNNNNNNNNNNNNNNNNNNNNNNNNNNNNNNNNNNNNNNNNNNNNNNNNNNNNNNNNNNNNNNNNNNNNNNNNNNNNNNNNNNNNNNNNNNNNNNNNNNNNNNNNNNNNNNNNNNNNNNNNNNNNNNNNNNNNNNNNNNNNNNNNNNNNNNNNNNNNNNNNNNNNNNNNNNNNNNNNNNNNNNNNNNNNNNNNNNNNNNNNNNNNNNNNNNNNNNNNNNNNNNNNNNNNNNNNNNNNNNNNNNNNNNNNNNNNNNNNNNNNNNNNNNNNNNNNNNNNNNNNNNNNNNNNNNNNNNNNNNNNNNNNNNNNNNNNNNNNNNNNNNNNNNNNNNNNNNNNNNNNNNNNNNNNNNNNNNNNNNNNNNNNNNNNNNNNNNNNNNNNNNNNNNNNNNNNNNNNNNNNNNNNNNNNNNNNNNNNNNNNNNNNNNNNNNNNNNNNNNNNNNNNNNNNNNNNNNNNNNNNNNNNNNNNNNNNNNNNNNNNNNNNNNNNNNNNNNNNGGGGGGUGGGGGGUGGGGGCGGAUCCCUGGAGGGGAAGUCCUGGCUCUGCCGUCCACUAGCCUGCAGCCUUCGGUAAGCUGUCCAUCCUUUCUAGACCUUGUACCCUUCAUCAGUAUAAAUUGGGAAAGGAGACCAGUAGGUGGUAGAACGGGAGCAACCCCUUUCAGAGCUAAAUCUCUUGCCAUUCUCUCCUAGUAAUGACAGAAGCAAACAGUACCACUCUAAGUCAGGCACCGUUUCGAAUGACUCCUGUAGGUUGACUCAUUUAAUUCACCAGUGCCCCAUUGAAGCAGAUCUUCUUGUUAACACCAUUUUCUCUCUAAAGAAAUGGAGGCACAGAAGGUAAGUGACUCACCAAGACACUCACCUCGGAGGUAGCAGAAUUGGACCCAGGUGUCUUGGUUCCAACAAGCCUUGUACUUAAACAUUGUGCAUACUGCCUGUUCCCCAUCACUUCCUUCAGGCAUUCAGGCCUGUCCCCUUUCCUAGAACUUUACCUUUAUUUAACUCUAUCACAACUUACCCAGAUAUUCCAGGAUAAAUGCAUCGGAUAGAAAAAUAGUUGAUAAAUUAACUGAAGCUAUGGUAACCUCUGAGGAGGAGAGGGGAAGGGGUGUUGCAUUUUAAUAGGAAAAGCCUUAAUGCACAUACGUUCAUGUAGUACGCUUUUAAGCACCUUGGCAGGCUAGUGGGAAAGACAUCUAGGACCUUUGGGGUUCUUCUGAUAUCUCACAAGCCACAUUGAUCAAGGAGUCUCAACGUCUGGAACAAGGCUUUCGCUAGUAGAAAUUGCAUUUGUCACAGAGAUAAAGUUUUCAAGGUCACUUACUUGAUUUUUCAUCAGUCUGAGUGUUCCUUAUGGGCUGAAUAUGCUAUGAACUUGUUUUUUGCAUUAUACAUCACGAGUAUAUUUAUCUAUAUAUCUGAGGACAAAUUGUUUAUUCCCAUUGAACCCUGGAUUUAUUCAGAGCUCAUGAUGUGUCAUGGCACUAUGGUAGGAAUUAGUGACAUCAAAAAGAACACUUUAACAUUGAUGUUCCCCUGGAGGAUUCUGCAGUCUGUUGCUGAAGUAGGUACAAAGUACUGUGUGGACACGUCUCUGCAUGGGGAGUGAGGGUGGAAAUACUUGGAGUCUGAAAGGAUGAGCAAGAAUCUGUAUAUGUGCUGCCGAAGCGAGCACAAGAUGAGCAAGAAUCUGAAGGACAUUUGAGACAGAGGGAACAGGGUCUUGACCAUGCAUGACGAUGGUACACCUAGUGUGUCUGGACUACAGGAUUCCUUUGGGGAACUGGCAGCAGGUCUGCUGGGACCUUCUACAAAUGGCCUUACCUGUUAUAACACUGGGACUCUGGCAGUCAGGAGCCAUGUGAGGCUUUGCCUUGGUUUCAUCAUCUAUAAAAUAAUGGGGUUGCCCUGGCUCAGGGUAUGUGCACUAAAGGGCUCACAGGGAUCAGCCAGAUAAAAAAUGAUGUUUCAGGGAUUUGCGGUAGCUGAUACUUGGCCUCAGCGUCGAGGAACCAUGGUGAUAGUGGGGACCAACCUUGGGGGUGCUGAGAAGUUGAUAGGUGAAAAUGUAGGUCCAGUGUUUGCCCAUUUUCUCAUUUUUUAAAGGAUACCAGGGAUCUGGAUUUUUCUGUAAAGUCCUUUAAUUUUUUACAUGUUGGCAAUUAAUUAAAACAGUUAAUCUAAGUUAAAACUCCGUCUAAGUUAAUCCUAGGCAAAUCAAGGAAGGCAAUGUCUGGGCCCUGCCAGUUGUGAUCUCUAAGAUGAAUGACCCUAGAGCCUGUCCUGCUCCAGCAUUCUGUUACCCCCAGCCAUUCAAAAAAACGUCAAAUAAUAGCACCCUGGGCUCCAUUAAUUGUUAGAUUGACUGGACUUUCAUUUACUUAAAAAAUAAGGGCUGCCACUUAACUCAGUUGUAGGAGUUUACACUUUAUCAACAAAAUUGGAACGUGUCUUUUUCUUAUUUUCUACUUUACUCCCAAACACUACUGGGUCUCCCUUUCUUCUCCCCCUGAAUUUAUGUUGCAAGCCGCUGGCAUUGCCUUGGCAGCAUAAUAGGAAACGCUUUUUUUUUUUAGGGCAUCUGUAUCCAAUGGGAACUAUAUCUGUUUAUUUCUUCCACCUGGCGUCUGUCCACAGGAAGCCAGGCAUUUCUAACCCCCUUACCUUACAGAACUUAUUUUGUGGUAACACAGAAACAUUUUGUUGGAACGGACUAGAAGGCACCUCUCCCACUCCACCCUGCAACCCAUCUUCUAAACAUGAUUGAGCAAUAUGAUAUGUAUUAUAAAUCACUAUCAAAUGGCUCCAGAUUUAGGUGAUUAAGAAUUAACCUUCUCCUCUUGUGUUUUAUUUCCAGAGAUAACCUGUCUCCUAAUUACCCACUUAAAACCGCACGUACCACAUUCAGAAUUUAGAAAAGGUUUGAUUUGGGCACAGUACUUGAGCACACAGAUAGAUCCUACAGAGAAAUUGAAGCAAUUUAUUCUUGCCAACUUUUUGCAGGUCCGAAGAUUAAAUGAAAAGGAGCAUUCUGGCUGUGGGGCUGAUUAUGUGAAAUAAGACGUAAGACAUGUUUAAUGCUCAGCAGGAUGCUUGGCACAUAGUAAGUGCCUAAUAAAUUCCAAUUACUGCUACUGCUAAGCCCCAUCAUUACCUUCACUUUUACUACAAUUAGCAUAGAAUGAGCUAGUCUUAUUCUCUAGAGAAUAUUCUGCAUUCUUUGAACUAGAUGAACUCAAGCUGUAAAAACAUUUGAUAAGUGGUAUAUAGAUGAAGUGAUUUAAAAAAAAAAACCCAUGCAGCCCAGUUUUCUGGCUUGCACUGGAGCCCCAGUGACCAUUUAAGAAAGCGCCCAGGCUGUGCCUAUCAUGGAAUUGCAAAUUUGCCUACAGGCAAUAGUGAGCUGAGGGGCUUUUUGCCUUGGUUUCCUCUCCUAUAAAAAAUAAUGGGAUUGCCCCAGCUCAGGAAUCGUGCACUCAAGUGGUCCAGGGACCAGCCAGAUACAAAACACCAUGCCUGAGGAGUAAUGCCAGCUGACACUUGGCCUCAGCAUACAGGAGCCAUGGGGAUAGUUAUACCUAUGGGGUCUGGGUUUUACCUGCCAAAGACUAGGGAGUUGAUACAUAUAGCUGAGUUAGUGAUUUUAUCUAAUGUUUAUAACCUUGUUGGCUAUAGUAUUCCAUCUUAGGUCCGUUUAAAUGAUGAGAAAACUGAGGCUUAGCUACAGUCAGUAACUGGUGCAAGGGCACAGAGCUAUCGAGGGAGAGCAGAGUGUCUGUUUCUAAAGGCUUUUCUUUUGAGGGAGAACAUGGGGUUUGCCUUCUGUGAAACCCACCUAAAAGUGUAGAAACUUGCCCUCAACUUCUUGACUUCCCAUUAACAACUGACUGUGGUUGUUACUUAAAUGUAUUUCUUUUCUUUUUUUUUUUUUUUAAUGUUUAUUUAUUUCUGAGACAGAGACAGAGCAUGAGUGGGGGAGGGGCAGAGAGAGGGAGACACAGAAUCCGAAGCAGGCUCCAGGCUCUGAGCUGUCAGCACAGAGCCCGACGUGGGGCUCAAACUCACAAACUGUGAGAUCAUGACCUGAGCCGAAGUCAGUCGCUCAACUGACUGAGCCACCCAGGCACCCCUUUAAAUGUAUUUCUAAGUAUGUCUUGGGUUUAUUUGGUUUUCAGUAAUUGUGGGCCCCAGUUUCUUCAUGAGAGUCUGGUGAUGAAUGAGUUAAACAAUAAAAGAGGGUUCCCUCCACACAGAGCCCCUUGCCUAAGCUUGCUCCUAUUUCCUCUGAAGAAAAAGAGAUGUGUCAGGACAAAGGAGGAACUCAGAGAUUGAGAGAUAUUUCUACUGUAACUUAGUCAUCACCAUCAGUUUUGUUACUGGAGGCAGACAGACCUGCUUCCGCUCACAACCAUUGGUCACCCUCCAACAGUUACUAAGCACAGAGCCCUCCAGGCACCCACUGCGAACACCCUGUAUCUCUGAGACUUGCACAAAGUGUCUCUCAGCCUUGGAUGUGAGGGUGGGGUGGGGUGCCCAACAUUAUGACAAUAAGUAAAAAGCAAAGAGCAGUUUGAGGCUAGUCCUAGGCAUUUAACAAAAAAUCUUGAACCCCCUUCCCUUUGAGUAGGCUUUAGCUCUCAAAAAACAAAAACAAGACAAAACAACAAGAAACCCCACUGUUUUUCAACAAUCUCUUUUGUAGUUUCUUUUUUUUUUUCAUUCUUUUAAAAUUGAGAUACAAUUGACGUAUGGCUUUAUAUUAGUUUCAGGUGUACAACAUAAAGAUUCAAUAUUUGUAUAUAUUGGAAAAUGAUCACCACAACAUAUAUGUAUAGGUAACACCCACCAACACAUAUAGUUACAGUUUUCUUUCUUGUGAGGUGAGCUUGUAAGAUCUCUCUUAGCAACUUUGAAAUAUACAACACCGUAGUGUUAACUAUAGUUACCAUGCUGUACAUGAUAUCUCCAGGAUUUAUUUAUUUUAUAACUGGGAGUUUGUACCUUUGAUCACCUAAACAGUCAAUUCUUAAUGGACAAAGAUAAUAUGUGUUCAGUGCUUGAAUUUCUGAGACUCUGGGAAAGGCCACUGGGGAAUUAGAAGGUGUAGACUAUAUACCGAAACACUGCAGAUCCAGAAGAUUGAUAGUUCAGGUCAAUCCUAUAAAUACCGUAUGCAUGCCAGACUUUGUGCUAGGUGGCGAUACAAAGAAGAAGAAUAUCUAGACUUUGUCAUCAUGGCUCUCACAGCCUGGGAGAGAUGUGGAUGUUUAUGCAAAUAAUACAAUACAUUGAUUGGGGCCUCUGGAUGGCUCAGUGGGUUAAAUGUCCGACUUCAGCUCAGGUCAUGAUCUCACAGUCUGUGAGUUCGAGCCCUGCAUCAGUCUGUGUGCUGACAGCUCAGAGCCUGGAGCCUGCUUCAGAUUCUGUCCCCUCUCUCUCUGUACCCCUCCCUUGCUCAUGCGCUCUCUCUCUCUCUCUCUCUCUCUCAAAAAUAAUAAACAUUAAAAAAAGUAAUACAAUACAGUGAUUGGUGCUCUAGGUACAGUGCACCCAAACUCCUUUGGGGAUACAAACAACGGAUGUCUAAUUUAGAAUCCCACCCUUUAAAGAUGUGAGGACUUGUUCAGUCUGUAAAUUUUCAUGGCUGGGAGGGGUCAGGCACAGUUAUGCACAGGCACUAACAUCCACAUUCCCUUUGAAGCUGGCAAUUGCAGAAAACAUGCACAUCUUCGUGAGACAUUAGCAAACACCUAAAAGUGGGAACCUGAAGAUGAGCCUCUUAAAAUGCAUUGAUUACAAACAAGAGCAACCCUUUGGGUGCUGUUAGAUAUUCUUAUCACUAUGGAUCUUUUUUUCUGAGAGGGGAGGGAAGGGAACUUACAUUUACAGGACACCUGACAGGAGCCAACUGCCUUAAAGGUUAUCUCAUUUAAUGUUCAAGAAAAUCCUUAAGGUGAACAUUUUAACAUCUUUCUAAGCUUAGUAAGUGGGCGUUCAGAGAAGUUAAGCAACUUGCCCAAGAUCAGACAGUUAGAAUGUGACCAAACAAGCAUUCUGACCCAGUCCUGUGUGACUCCAAAACCUGUACCGUUUCUACAUUUCUGCUGCACUGUCCUGACUCCCUGAAUUUCCAUUCCCUGUAUGAGUGUUUGCUCCUUCUCUGUUUUCUUAUAUUAUUACUACCUCCCCUUCAUAGAGCCAGCCUUUCCCUUUCUCUUAGCACUUUCAUGCUUAUUGAUGUUGAAGUCUUUGAGCCACUGGUGAGUCUAGCUUCUAAAAGGAGGUACAGACUAAAGUGAACAAGAUCAUUACCAUCUUGUCAACAUUAACACCACAUCGUUAAAAUCAGAGAGCAAGCAUGGUGACAUUAACCUUCACUUACAUUUGCUUCCCUGCUUAGCACUGUGUAGAAUGAUUUAGAGGUAUGUGAUUUCUCCUAUCUGGGGAUAGAUGACAAGUUCCAAAGGAUGUGUGUGGAGUUUAAUGAGAAAUAAUGAUGGAAAUAUGAUUUAGGGAUUCUGUCUUUGAGAGACAGAGGGAGGUCACCUGCAUGGCUCAGUGGGUUAAGUGUCUGACUUCAGCUCAGGUCAUGAUCUCGUGGUUUGGGAGUUUGAGCCCGGCUAAAAGCUCUGUGCUGACAGCUCAGAGCCUGGAGCCUGCUUCGUGUUCUAUGUGUGUGUCUCUCUCUCUGCCCCUCCCGGGCUCACGCUCUGUCUGUCUUGCUCUCUUAAAAAGAAACAUUAAAAAAAUUUUUUAAAGACAGAAGAGAAGUGCCAUGGCAAAGGCUGCAAUACAGUGCAAUACAGGCUCCAUAAAGGCAAGAUGGUAACAAUAAAAGGUAACAGAAAGAACAAAUACAAAGAGAGUGGAAACUCAGAAGGAAGCUAGAUGACUAUAUGAAGAAGGUCCUGGGCCAAUACACUGAGGCAUAUUUGCGCACACACAUUCACGUGCUCCUGUGUUGGGGAAGUUAAGGAUGAGAGAGUUGAAAUGAGAAAAUCAUAGUGAAUUAUGACAUUCCCAUGGAUUCAUUUUCUUUUCCUGUUACCACAAUUAAUCUGGAUUUCAUUCACCUUUCUUUCCUCUGGGCUUUCUCCACCUUCUAGGUCAUCUUUCUGCUAUUUUGAAUAGAGAAAUGCUUUACUCUCAGUCCAGGAAAGGUGACCAGAAAGGACCUACUUUCACAGCUGGGCUGUUUGUUUGCAAGGGCUUCAACCCUGAAAGCACGGGCCACAGAGGGAGGUAGGGAUGAAGAUGGGAAUGGGGGCAAACUCAGGGAAGACUUCUGAAGUGGCAUAAAUGAGAAUUGAGACAAUUUCCACUUGAAGUCACCUCUCCACUUAUGAGUCAUUAACCAUCUGGAACCAAGUGCAGUUAAUUUAGCACCACGCUGGAAAGCUUAUAACGUGAACCACAUUCCAGGGCCCGGGCAUCCAGGUUUUAAUCCUUUGUAAACGCCUCUCUUUUGGAACACAAUUUGGUGUCAGUACAUAGGAACUAAGAAUUGUGCCAACUGGUGAGUCAUCGCUCUCUGCUUUCUUCCAGAGCACUGUGGGAAAAGGAUGGGCAGACUGGGUCAGAUAAAACCCAGUCCCACCCAAACUCUCACUGAAGGCUGGAAACAAAUCCAGUUUUUAAAUGUUUUUAAAAUCUAAUUGGACUCAGAAAAGAGAUAAUAAGCCUCUGUUCUUUGGUUUCAACUUGGAUCUGAAGCCUUGUUUUGUUUUCUAAGUCUCUAGGCUAUCACACUGGGUUAUAACUUUUUUGUUUGUGCUUGCCUUUUAAAGGACAUUUAUUGGGGCAGUUGGGUGGCUCAGUCGGUUGAGCCUCUGACUCUUGAUUUCAGCUAGGAUCAUGAUCCCAGGAUCAUGGAAUCUAGCCCCAAGUCGGGCUCUGUGUUGAGCGUGGAGCCUGCUUGGGAUUCUCUCCCUCUCCCCUGCUUGUGCUCUAAAUAAAUAAAUAAGCAAAUAAAUAAAUAAAUGGACAUUUAUUAAAUCAUUAAUGAUCGAUUGCACUGUGGUAGGUUUUGGGGAUACAAAAGCGUGGUUCCUGACUUUGAGGACAAUACAGGCUAGAGCUGUGAGGGCAUGCCUAAAUAAUGUGUGUGUGAAUACUAUGUAGUAAGUCUUUUCUUGAAGGUACAGUGGGCACAAUCUCUUCUGGAUCUCUGUCUGAACAUGGACCCAUACUAGGGAUGAGGUUUUUUUUUUGUUUUUUUUUUUUUAAUUUUUUUUUUCAAUGUUUAUUUAUUUUUGGGACAGAGAGAGACAGAGCAUGAACAGGGGAGGGGCAGAGAGAGAGGGAGACACAGAAUCAGAAACAGGCUCCAGGCUCCGAGCCAUCAGCCCAGAGCCCGACGUGGGGCUCGAACUCACGGACCGCGAGAUGGUGACCUGGCUGAAGUCGGACGCUUAACCGACUGCGCCACCCAGGUGCCCCAGGGAUGAGGUUUUCUUAUUGCACUGGACGGUGUUGCUCUUGGAAUUCCCAGUGCUUCCUCUGCAAACUUGGAAGAACAAACUCUAUUUUUCUCUGCUUGAACUUAAUUGACUAUGCUUAUGAUAUAGUAUCAGCAUAAGCCUUGGGAGUCCUCUAACACUCUCUCCUUAACAAAGGGUUGGAUAUUUUUGUCUUGAAUACCUUUCCACUUUUGGUUGGUAAGCUGUCCAGGUGUUUAUAGCCUUUUGCGUAAACUUGUGUCUUCUGGUGUUCUAAUGAUAACAAGUGGAUAUGUAAAUUAAUUCUUCGCCUUGGCUGAAAUUGUGCGUGGUGAAUCUAAAGAUUUCUAUUACAUAGUUUGAAACAUAAGGCCAGUUCUUUGAAGCCUUUUUCCUAGGCAGUUGACCACAAUGGGAGUGGACAAGAAGGGAGGGCAUAUUGGGUAAGAGGACUGUACUCCAGGAUUCUAUUACAUUUGGUGACAUUUUAGAAAACUGUUUAAUUUGAUUCCACUAUUGUUUGUGACUUGCCAUCUGGCAUUAUUUCCUUUCUUCUGUUUUCUUUGGCUUUAGUUUUCUCUUAUUUGUCAAGUUUCUUAAUGUGGAGGCUGAGGUCACUGAUCUAAAGAUUUUUUUUUUCUUUCUAUUGUAAGCAUUUAGCACUCUAGAUUUCUCUCUAAUCCCGCUUCAGCUGCAUCCCACAAAUUUUGAUAUGUUGUGCUGUUAUUUUCAUUCAGUUCAAAGGACUUUCUAAUUUCCUUUUUGAUUUCUUUUUGACUUCUGGGUUAUUUAAAAGUGUUACCCAACUAUUUGGAUAUUUUUCAAGUAAUAUUCUGUUACUUAUUUUGAGUUUAGUUUAAUUGUAGUCAGAAAAUAAACUAUGUAUGACUUGAAUGUUCUUAAAUAUUUUGAGACUAGUUUUUGGCCCAGAAUAUAGUCUAUCUUGAAAAGAAUACCUAUGCUGCUGUGGACAGAGUGUUCCAUAAAUGUCAAUUAGGUUAUGUUGUGUGAUAGUGAUGUGCAAGUGUUCUAUAUUCACACUGAUUUUUGUCUACCUACUCUUUGGGUAGUUAAAAGAAGAGUAUUGAAAUCACCAACUGCAGUUAUGGAUUUUCUGUCAGUUUUUGUUUGAUGUAUUUUACACAUCUGUUAUUAGGUGCAUAAACAUUAAGGAUUGCUAAAUGCUCUUGAUAAAUUGACCCCUCUCUAAUUAUGAAAUGACCUUCUGUGAUAGUUAAUUUUAUGUAUCAACUUGAUUAAGCCAUGGAGUUCCCAGAUAUUUGGUCAAACAUUAUUCUGGGUGUCUGUGAAGGUGUUUCUGGAUAUGAGUAACAUUUGAAUUGGUAGACGGAGUAAAGCAGAUUGUUCUCCCCAGUGUGCAUGGGGUUCAUCCAAUCCCUUGAAGGUCUAAAUAGGACCAAAGGCUGAGUAAGAAGAAAUUCCUCCUACCUGAGUGCCUUUAAGCUGGGAAUAUCUUUUUUUUUUUUUUUCCUGUCUUUGGACUUGAACUGAAACAUCUGUUCUCCCUGGCUCUUGAGCCUGCUGGCCUUAGGAGCAGAACUCCACCAUCAGCUCUCCUGGGGCUCCAGCUUGCCAACUGCAGAUCUUGGGACUUGUCAGCCUCCAUACUCCUAUGAGCCAAUUUCUUAUAAUAUACUUUAUUAUAUAUUUUGUAUACACUUCUUUUUUAUACAUAUUUAUGUAAUGUAUAUUACAAUUAUUACAUCUUCUAUAUGUACCUAUGUAUAUGUAUAUCUCCUCUUGGUUUGGUCUCUCUGGAGAACACUAAUACAUUCUCUUUAUCCCUAAUAAUAUUCUUUGCUCUGAAAUCUACUCCCAACUCCAGCCUUCUUUUCAUUAGUUGUUAGCAUGCUAUAUUUUUUCAUCUCUUACUUUUAAUCCAUGUGUGUCUUUACAUUUAAAGUGGGUUUCUUGUUUUGCUUGUUUAUCCAAUGUAGCAGGUAUCUAUCUUUUAUUCUUAUUUUUUUAAUGUUUAUUUCAUUUUUGAGAGAGAGAGCGCGCGCACUAGCAGGGGAGGGGCAGAGAGAGAGGGAGACACGGAAUCUGAAGCAGGCUCCAGGCUCAGAGCUGUCAGCACAGAGCCCAACACGGGGCUCCAACCCAUGAACUAUGAGAUCAUGACCUGAGCCGAAGUCAGACACUUAACUGACUGUGCCACCAGGUGCCCCUGGGUCUCUAUCUUUUAAUUGAGGUGUUUAGACCAUUCACACUUAAUGUGAUUAUUAAUACAGUUGGGAUUAAUCUGUCAUCUUGCUCUUCUCUGUGUCCCAUCUAUUCUUUGUCUUUAUUUUCAACUUUUUCUUCCUUUUUCAGACUAAAUUUUUUAGAUAAUUCUACUUUACUCCUUUCAUUGGCUUAUGGGCUAUAACUUUUUGUUGUUUUAUUUCAGUGGUUGCUUUUGGGAUCACAGUAUAUGUUUUAAAUUUAUCACAGUCUACCUUCAAGUGAUUUGAUACUGUUUCGCAUACAGCAUAAGUACCUUAUGACAUUGCAGCAGUUCUCCCUGAAGCACUUCUUUUAAUGUUUCUUGUGCAGGUGUGCUGGUGAUCAAGUCUCUCAGCUUUUGUGUAUCUAAAAAAGAAGUUGUUGAAUUUUCAUUUUCUUAGCUUUUUUAUUUUGAAAUAAUGUCGACUCCAGGAAAUUGCAAAAAUAGUACUAGAGUGAGUCCCAUGAACUUUUUACUGAGCUUUCUCCAAUGGUGGCAGCUUAUAACUGGAGUACAAUAAAACCAGGAAAUUGACAGGAAUACAGUACUGUUAACUAGACUACUGACCUUACUCAGUUUUUACCAGUUGUUUCAUGUACUCAUUUGUGUAUUUUACCUUCAUGUUUGAAAGUUAUUUGUACUGGAUAUUGGACUUCUGUGUUGGCAGUCUUUUCUUUCAUUAAAAGAUAUCUCACUGCUGUGGCUUGUGUUAUUUCUGAUGAGAAGUCUUCUGACAUUCUUAUCUUUAUUCUUCUCUAUGUAAUGUAUCAUUGCUGUGGCUGCUUUUACGAAUUUUCUGUUUAUCACUAGUUUUAAGCAAUUUGUAAGGUGCCUUGUGUAGUUUUCUUAUGUUUCUUGUGCUUGGAUUUCUUGGAUCUGUGCAUUUAUAAUUUUCAUUAAAUUUGGAAAAAUUUUUCAGCCAUUAUUUCCUCAAAUAUUUUUUUGGUGUCACCACACUCCCCCUUUGCAUUUAGGAGACUCCAUAUUAUGUCACUUGAAUUUUUUACCAACUCAGUGGAAGUCUAUUUUAUUUUAGUCUUUUAUUCCUCUGUGUGUUUCAUUCUAGAUAUUUUUUAAUGCUAUAUGUCAAGUUUAUUAAUGUUUCCUGAAAGACAUAUAAUCUGCUGUUAAUCACAUUUUUGUAUUAUGUUUACAUUUAUUGUAUUUUUCAUCUGAGACAUUCUAUUUUCAAUUCUAGAAGCUUGAUUUGGGUCUUUUAAAAUACCUUCCACAUAGCUACAUAGCAUAGUUAACCUUUUUGUGACCUGACCUUGUUGAAUAUAUGGGAUGUAGUUAUAACUCUUUUAAUGUUCUUCUCUAUGAAUUCUAUCAUUAUGUGUCAUUCCUGGGUCUGUUUCUACUGAAUUAUUUUUCUCUUCAACAUAGAUCCUAUUUUCCUGCUUAUUUGAAAGCCUGACAAUUUUUGAUUGGAUGUAAGGCAUUGUGAAUUUUAUCUUCUUGGAUGCUAAAUAUAUUUAUAUUCCUAAAAAUAUUCUUAGAUUUUGUUCUAGACCAUAGAUUACUUGGAAACAGUUGGAUCCUUUCAAGUCUUAUUUUUAAGCUUUGUUAGGGAUGAGAGCUGCAUUUAGGCUAGGCUGAAUUUGUCUUCACCACUGAAGCUAACCCUUUCUGUGUACUUCAACUGAUGUCCCCUGACAAGAAGUUUUUCACUCUAGCUGGUAAAAACAGAAACUAUUCCCAGUUCUAUGUUUGUUCCAAGAAUUGUUCCUUCCACUCCUUUUAGGCAGUUCUUUCCCCAGCCUUGGAAUAGUUUCCUCACCUGAAUGCACCAUUCAGUACUUGGUUGAUGACACCAAGGCUGUGCUUUUCAGAUCUCUGAGGCUUUCUCUGUGCAGCUCUUCCCUGUCCAGUGCUCUGCACUAUAUUCUCUAGACACUUUGGCUUCCCUACACACCUACCUCUGUCUGAUCAACUCAGGGAGACUGCUGGACUCUGACUGGGUUCCCCUGCCAGUCUGGAUAUUCUUUUUAGGCAGUUAGCUGGGUUGAUUGUAGGUCUCAUCUCUUAUUUUCCCACUCUAAACAAUCACUAGACUGUACUGGUUGAUGUCCUAUAUCUACAAAAUGUUUCAUCAUAAAUUUUGUCUAGUUUUAUUAUUUGUUGCAGGUAGUAAAGUAAAUAUGGCCAUUGUUUCUCCAUUUUAGCACAAAAUGGAAGUUCUGCAACUGGAAUUUUGCUGAAGAAACUUUAUUGGUUCCCUAGGGCUGCUGUAACAGAGUAUCAUAAACUAGAUGACUUAGAACAAUAUAAAUUUAUUCUCUCACAGUUCUGUAGGCUUGAAGUCCAAAACCAAGGGGUCAGCAGUCCCAUGCUCCUUCCAAAGACUCUUCCUUGCCUCUUCUAGCUUUUGGGGGUUGGCUGCAAUCCUCACUGCUCCUCAGCUUUAGAUGCAUAACCCCAAUCUCUGCUUUCAUCUUCACAUGGCUUCUCCCCGGUGUGCCUAUGUCUGUGUCCAAAUUUCCUCUUCUUAUAAAGGUACCAGUCAUUGCAUUAGGGUCCACCCUAAUCCAGUAUAAUCUCAUUUUAACUUGAUGACAUCUGUGUCUUAGUUCAGGGUGCUGUAACAGAAUAUCAUAGACAGGGUAUCUUAAAAACAAACAUUUAUUAAUCACAGUUCUGGAGGCUAGGAAUUCCAAGUUGAAGGUCCCAAGAGACCCAAUGUCUGGUGAGAGCACCAUUCCUGGUUUGCAGAUAACUGUCUUCACUGUAUCCUCCCAGCAAAGAGAGCAGGAAGGUAUUCAUCUCUCAUCUCUUCUUAUAAGGGCACUGAUCCCAUUCAUGAGGUCUCCACCUUUAUGGCUUAGUUCCCUCCCAUUGGCCCCAUUUCCCAAUAUCACCCACAUUGGCAAUCUAGGCUUCAACAUGAAUUUGUGGGGAUGGGGGACAUAAACAUUCAAGAAUUCAGUCCAUAGCACUCUGUAAUCACCCCACAUCAAAUAAGGUCACAUUCACAGUUACCAGGAGCUAGCGUUUUAACAUAUCCUUUGUGGGGGGACACAAUUCAAUCCAUAACAGAAACAUUUCUUCUUCUUCAUUUAUAUAUACAUACAUAUACAUAUAUGUGUGUGUGUAUACGCAUAUAUAUGUAUAUAUAUUUUUAAUGAUAUACACACAUGUAUAUGUAUAUUUAUAUACAUAUACAUAUACGUGUGUGUAUAUCAUUAAAUUAUAUAUAAUAUUUAUAUUUAUAUAUUUAUAUAUACAUAUAUAUAUUUACAUGUAUAUAUACAUAUAUAUUUAUAUAUAUAUAUUUUUUAAUGUUUGAGAGAGAGACAGACUGAGAGACAGAGCAUAAGCAUGAGCAGAGCGGGAGGAGGGGGUGCAGGGAAGAGAGGGAGACACAGAAUCCGAAGCAGGCUCCAGGCUCUGAGCGGUCAACACAGAGCCCAACGUGGGGCUCAAACCCACGAAUCGUGAGAUCAUGACCUGAGCUGAAGUUGGAUGCUUAACUGACUGAUCCACCCAGGUGCCCCAAUAUCUUUUUUUUUUUUUUUUUAAAGUAAGCUGUAUGCCCAAUGUGGGGCUUGAACUCACAACCCAAAGAUCAAGGAUCGCGUGCUGUAUCAACUAAACCAGCCAGGUGCCCCCUUCUUCAUUUUUUAAAAUGAUAUUUUAAAUUUUAUUGUUUUUUUUUUAAUUUUUUAACAUUUAUUUAUUUUUGAGAGACAGAAAGAGACAGAGCACAAGUAGGGGAGGGGCAGAGAGAGAGAGGGAGACACAGAAUUCCAAGCAGGCUCCAGGCUCUUAGCUGUCAGCACAGAGCCCGACACGGGGCUCAGCUGGAACUCACAAACCAUGAGAUCAUGACCUGAGGCGAAGUUGGAUGCUUAACUGACUGAGCCACCCAGGCACCCCCCACCCUGUUCUUAUUUUGAUUAAAGCAUAUUUUAGAUAAAACAAAGAUGAUUGAUCUUUGUGGAAAACUGUUAAAAUACUCUGCAUUUUUAGUUUAUUUUUGGAUGUCCUCAAGUAUUUAUGAUAGUUUCUAAAUCAACUCCAUAUUUAUCUUUUCUUAAAUAUGAUUUAAUACAAUGAAAUUAUUGCUUUAAAACUUCUAAUAUUGGCUUUAAAAAAAAAAAGAAAGAAAGUCAUUAUAUAUUUUUUGGCCUUCUGUUUCACCCUGAAUCAAAGUGAUUAUUAGAGAUUAAAAGGGUUCAAACUGGAAAUUGUAGGAAGUCGCUGCUGUGAUGUUAUCUUAAAAGUAGCUUCUUGCUUGAGGAUUAAAAUGUGUAGUCAAUUAAGUUUUCAUUAUCUGGAGGGAUUAGAAGAAAUGCUGUCAAAUAGGCUGACCCUUGAUUCCAUUUACAACUUCUUUUUAAAGGAAAUCCAAAAAGGAAUCACUCACAUACUCAUCCAGUCUCUAAUAAAGUUUCAUUCCAUGAGCUAGUAUCAUCAAUGACAGAACCAUGAUCAAAAUUAGAACAGGACUUACAAAGGUCUACACUGUAAAUGGACUUUCCUUAGGGUAAUAAUCAGUGUUUAAUCCAUGUGCCCAUGGAUCCAUAGGUUUUCUGAAGUGGAAGGGAAUUCUAAGAUCUCCAUCAUCAUGCUUAAUAUGUUAUACUAUUUUAAUUGUCUAUGUGACUUUCUCCCCCAUAAGAACCUUGAGGGAACAAAUACCUUGGUACUUAACACUGUAAUAUACUAGGUUUUCAGUAAAUAUUUGUUCAAGACAACAGGAAAUAAGAAAGGAAGGACCAAACAAGUGAAUGAAUAAGGCCCAAAGAAGUUUAGCAUCAUGUCUAUGGCCACGUAAAUAAUGAUAAGGUAGAACUAAAACUUGCUCUCCUGGUUCUCAAGUAGUUUUCUUUACAACAUCUCCUGUAUUUAUUAUCUCUUUCAGUAUUAGUUCUUUAUCUGCAUUUUACAAAUUUUCAUGAAUAAUAAUAGAUAGCACUCUUACAAUACUUAAUACCUUCCUGGUAGUUUUCUUUUUCUUAUUUUCUUUCGUUUCUUUUUUUUUUUUUUUAAAGAGAGAGAGGGAGAGAGAGUGCAGUUGCACUCAUGCACCUGCACUUGCACAUAAGCCAACGGGGGAGAGGCAGAGGGCGAGGGAGGGCAAGAGUCUUAAGCCAGCUCCAUGCCCAGUGAAGAGUCCUACACGGGCUCCAUUUCAAGACAGAUUCUGACCCAAGCCAAAAUCAAGAGUCAGACACUUAACUGACUGAAUCACCCACGUGGCCCACUCCUGAUAUUUUUCUAAGUGCUUUCAAUGUAUUAAAGUCAUUUGUUCUUUAUAACAACUCUAUAAGAUAGGCAUUAUUUUCCCUACAUUACAGGAAACUGAAAUACAAAACACUUAAGUAAUAUGCUCACGGUCUCAUGUCUAGUAAUUGGUAAAGCUGAGAUUAGAACCCAGGCAGUCAAGCACUAGAGUCUAUGUAUAAACCAAACCACUAUGAUAUGGUCCUUGAAAUUGAGUCCCAUUUAUCUUUUUGUUAAAGUUGUGUGAGGAAAAGUAAAAGAAUACCUAAUACAGAAUAGCAUAAUACAAAUUUUAUUGUACAAAGAAUGUAUUUUUUUAAUGUGUUUUUAUACUCAAGAUGCUCAUUUUUUAAAAAUUUCCACUGAAAGAUACAAAAACAAUAGAGAAAAGGUUUAUAAACUAAUACUGAGAAGCAAAUUAAGUAUUCCAUGGAUAGUAGUUUGACAGACUUUUUAUAAACAAUUUUCUAAAAGUCAGAAUUGAUUUUUUGUUUCUCCAAGGGAGUUAAGACUUACUCUUCUUAGGAGCACGUGGGUGGCUUAGUUAAGCGUCCUACUUUUGAUUUCAGCUCAGGUCAUGAUCUCAUGAUCCAGUCCUCCAAGGGCUCUGCACUAGGCACAGAGCUGCUAAAGAUUCUCUCUCUCCUCUGUUCCUCUCCUCAUGCAUGUGCAUGUGCACUCUCUCUCUCUCUCUCUCAAAAAAAAAAAAAUUUUUUUUUUAAACAAAGACUUGGGGCACCCAGGUGGCUCAGUCGGUUGAGCAUCCAACUCUUGAUUUUGGCUCAGGUCAUGGUUUCAUGUCAUGGGAUCAAGCCCCACAUGGGGCUCUGCACUGAGCAUGGAAUCUGCUUGGGAUUCUCUCUCUCUCUUCCUCUGCCUCUCCUCUCCUCUCCCCACUUGUGCUCUCUCUCUCUUUAAAAUAAAUAAAAAACAAAUAGGUUUUUUAAAAAAGACAUUCUUUUUAACCUUUUCUGUAUAGUUCUAAAGUAAAAGUCAUUCUAGUGCUAUUCAUUUUUUUUUAAAUUUUUUUUUUUCAACGUUUAUUUAUUUUUUUUUUGGGACAGAGAGAGACAGAGCAUGGACGGGGGAGGGGCAGAGAGAGAGAGGGAGACACAGAAUCGGAAACAGGCUCCAGGCUCCGAGCCAUCAGCCCAGAGCCUGGCGCGGGGCUUGAACUCACGGACGGCGAGAUCGUGACCUGGCUGAAGUCGGACGCUUAACCGACUGCGCCACCCAGGCGCCCCGCUAUUCAUUUUUUUUUAAUUGCUUGCUCUAGGGUUUGCAAUAUACAUUGUUAAACUUAUCACAGUCUUUCUUCAAAUAAUGUUACACAGCUUCAUGCAUAAUGUAAAAACCUUACAACAGUAUAUUUCCAUUUCCCUCUCUGAUCUUUGUGCUAUUGUAUUAUAUGUUUUAUGUCUAUAUAUGUUUUAAGCUCCACAAUGCCUUGUAAUUCUUUUUGCUUCAAUCCACUAUCUUUUAAAGAAAUUUUAAAAUUAGAAUAAAAGUAUUUCAUAUUUACUCAUGUAUUUAUCAUUUCCAAUACUCAUUAUUCCUUUCUGUAGAUCCAGAUUUCCAUUUGAUAUGAUUUUCCUUUUGCUGGAGAAACUUCCUUAAACAUAAUUUUAUAGCUCAGGUAUGUUGAUGAUAAUUUAUUUCUGCUCAUGUUUAUCUAAAACAGUUUUUAUUUUGCCUUCAUUUUUGAAAACUAUUUUUGCCAGAUUUGGAAUUACAAGUUAACAGGCUUUCCCCUCCCUCUUUAACGCUUUAAAGAUCUUAUUCCAUUGGCUUUUGGCUUGUGUGUUUCUGAAAAGAAGUCAGCUGUAAUUCUUAUUUUUGUUGCUCCCUAGGUAAUCAGUCUUUUUUUUUUUUUAAUGUUUAUUUUUGAGAGAGAGAGAGAAAGAGACAGUGUGCACAAAAAGGGGAGGGCAGAGAAAAGGAGAGACACAAUCCCAAGACACAAUCCUCUGCACUGAUGGCGCAGAGCCUGAUGUGGGGCUCAGUCUCACGAACCGUGAGAUCAUGACCUGACCCAAAAGUAAGACUCAGAUGCUCAACCAACUGGGCCACCCAGGCACCCUUCCCCCUAGGUCAUCAGUCUUUCCCUCUGGCUGUUUUCAUAUUUUCUCUUUAUCAUUGGUUUUCAACAGUUUGGUAAUCAUGUACCUUGGUGCUGUUUAUUUUUUGUUGUUUUUAGCCUGCUUGAGAUUCAUUAAAUUUCUUGGGUCUAUGAGUUUUUAGGUUUGGUCAAAUUUGGAAAAUUUCUCACUAUCAGGACUUCACAUGUUUUUCUUUUUUCCUACUCCUCUCCUGAGACUUCAGUUUUACAGCUAAUAGACUGCUUGCUAUUAUUCCAAAAAUCAUGGAGGUUCUGUUCAUUUUUUUCUUUUUUUAGUCUUUUUUUCUUUCUGUGCUUAAUUUUGAAUGUAUUCUAGAUUGCUAAACCCUCAAAUUCACUAAUUUUUUUCUUCUUCAGUGUCUUAUUGUUAACCUCAUCAGUGAAAUUUUUAUUUCAGGCACUAUAUUCUUUAUUCCCAGAAGUUCUAUUAAUUAUUUAAAAAAAUAUCUUCAACUCUCAUUAUAUGUAUGUUUUCUUUUAAAUAAUUGUAUAUCGCUGUAGUAGUUGUUUUAAAUUUUUUUAAUGUUUAUUUUUGAUAGAGAGGGAGAGACAGAGAGACAAAGUGUGAGUGGGGAAGGGGUAGAGAGAGAGGGAGACACAGAAUCUGAAGCAGCUCAGGCUGAGUUGACAGCACAAAGCCUGACAUGGUGCUAAAACUCAGGGACUGCAAGAUCAUGACCUGAGCGGAAGUCAGACACUCAACUGACUGACCCAUCUAGGUGCCCCUAUAGUAAUUAUUUUAAUGUUAUCUGCCUAGGAUCAUUAUCUCUGUCAUCUUUUUUUAGUUUAUUUAUUUAUUUUUGAGAAAGAGAGAGAGAGAGAGAAAGAGUAUGCACGUGCAUGUGGGGGAGGGGAGAGAGAGAGAGGGAGGAGAAUCCCAAGCAGGCUCCAUGCUGUCAGCAUGGAACCCAGCUUGGAGCCCAAUCUCAUGAACUGUGAGAUCAUGACCUGAGCCAAAAUCAAGAGUUGGAUGCCCAACCAUCUGAGUCACACAGCCACCCCUCUGUCCUUUUUAGAAAGUCUGUUUCUAAUGAUUAUUUUUUCUCUUUAUUCUGAAUUACACUUUCCCCUUCUUGGUAUGUCUGAGUGUUAUAGAUGUUAUAUUGUUCAGUUUCUGUAUUUGUUGUCUUUCUUUGAAUAGUGAGGCUUUGUUUUGGCAAGUAGUUAAAUUACAUGCAGAUAAGUUUGACCCAUUUAAGACCUUAUACUUUUCUUUUUUUAACGUCAGCUCUGUCAGCACAGAGCCCAUUACGGGGCUUGAACUCACAGACCGUGAGACCAUGACCUGAGCGGAAAUCGGACGUUUAACCAACUGAGCCAUCCAGGCUCCCCAAGACCUUAUACUUUUCUAAAGCAGGUAUAGAGUAGCGUUCUACUAAGAUGUGACUCUACUAGUGUCUAUACUGAAUGAUCUAGAAUGUCACUGAGGUCUCUCUAUUAAUCAAAAUCAAAAGUCAGAGAGGCAAAUCAAAAGGAAUUGGUCAGGAUGGCUUCACUGAGAAGGUAAUGGUUUACACAUAAAUGCUUUUCUUUUACUUUUCUUUAUUGGAUCAAUGGGUGUGAAUUAUUCUAAUAAUAUUGAUAUAUAAUGUCAAACUGCUUUGCAGGUCAUAACAUUUUAUACUUUCACCAGUAGUUUAGGAGAAUGCCUGCCUCACAAUAUCAUUGACAGUAUUGAGUAUUAUGUUUAGUAAAUUAUAGUAUAAUCUCUUGGAAGUAAUAUCAUACAGUCAUUAGAAUCAUGUUUUUUGAAAACUAAUGACUUGGAGGAAGAGCUCUUAAAACUGGUAAUUGAACAAAAGCAGGAUAAAAAAAAUUUACAUACAUUGAGAUCUCACUAUUAAAUAAAGAUCAUUUAUAUUAUUUGUUUAUAGCAUUUAUCUGUGGAUAAUAGGAUUAUGAGAGAUUUUUAUAUCCUCAUUUUUUUAGUAUUACCUUGAUACUAAAAACUACUUUAAAACAUGAGGUAUCUGGUAAAUGGGUUACUCCAAACAUGGAAAUACUUGACAGCAAGAAAGUCUAUACACAUAGAAACUAUAUACCCACCACAAUCUAUAACUGGAGUCACAUCUUUCAGUCUCUGUAUUCAUCAGGAAUCUUCUAAGAAUGGAGCUGUCUGGGCCAUCAAAAGGACUGUCCUGGGGUACAUGGGUGGCUCAGCUAGUUAGGGGUCCAACUUCAGCUCAGGUCAUGAUCUCAUGGUUUGUGAGUUUGAGCCCUGCAUGGGCUCUGUGCUAACAGCUCAGAGCCUGGAGCUUGCUUUGGAUUCUGUUUCUCCCUCUCUCUCUGCCCUUCCCCUACUCAUGCUGUGUCUUUCUCCCUCUCAAAAAUAGAUAAAUGUUAAAAAAAAAUUUUUUUUAAAAAAGGGCUGUCCUGAAAGCAUCUCCCACCUAAUUGUGAAUUUAUAAAAGUUAUGUAACUGGUCAACUCCCUGUUUUGGGUUGGUUUUAUUUGUUUUGACUAAUGUGGACCAAAUGCAUUUUCCUUGUCUCCCAUUUUACACUUUAACACUGAGUGUAUUAGUUUCCUAGGACCGCCAUAACAAAAGGUCACAGAUUACUUGGUGUAAACUACAGAAAUUUAUUCUCUUACAAUUCUGGAGGCUAAAGUCUAAGAUCAAUGUACUCCCAGGGUUUGUUUCUUCUGAGACAUCUUCACGUGGAUUGCAGAUGGCCAUCUUCUCCCUGAGUCUUCAUAUGGUCUUUCCUUUGUACGUGCCUCUGUCCAAGUUUCUUCUCAUGAGGACCCCAGACAUAUUGGAUUAGGGCUCACCCUAAUGACCUCAUAUUAAAUUAAUUACCUCUCCGAUUACCGCUUUAUAUUUCUAAAUAUCGUCAUCUUAUGUGUAGUGGUUAGGACAUCACAUAUGAAUUUUGAGGGGGUACAAUUCAGCCCACGAUACUGAGUAAGUUUAGUUCUUCAAGCUCCUCAUGGAUGUAGCAGAGGCAGAAAACCCAUUUCUUUACUCUCCAGGCAUAAUUUCUAGACCCCAAAGUGCCUGGUGGUGAAUUCUGGCCCUCUCACUUAAGAGCAGUUAUUUGAUGUGGGACAAGACAUCUAGGCUCUUUAUACUUUGGUAUCUUCAUCUCUCAACUGGGGACAAUACAAGCACAUACUCAUAGGUUUAUUGUAGCAUUCAGUGAUUUAAUUUAUGUAGAUCUUGAAGAACAGUGCUUGUCACAGAGCUGUGACAAGCACACACUAAGUGCUCAAAAAAGAUUAGCUCUUAUAUAUCAAAUUAUCUUAUUGAUGUAGCCAUUUAACACUAUAUUUGAUAUAGGAGGUAUAGUGAUGAACACAAAAACUACUGCCUUCACUGAGGAGGGCUUUUUCUCCUGGAUCUAUGUGUUAUUCUUAUUUCUGGCGGGGCAACUUUUGUUCUUCUUUUAAAAAUUCUGUGUAGAAAUGUUUUUCUGAAGGAUACCAAACAGGGAAAGCCUGCUUGAUCUCUGCCCUUCCCUCACUGUGGGCACUGACUCUUAUAUACGAUAUACGGUUUGUAGAUUAAGGGAGAAGUAAAGUUUGAAAAAGAAACCUGUGGAGAUAAAUCCUGUAUUUGCUUUAUGAUUGUCUCCUUUUUCUCUACCCCUUAACCACACACACACACACACACACACACACACACACACAUAACCUGUUAACUGUGCUGGACACAUUUUCUAAAUCCACGUGCUCAGGUUCUGCACCUAGAUAAUACUGUCUUAUGAGGUUGUAGUAUCUACUCCAUUAAGCAGUCCUUCUAGAAUGCUUUGAUGACUAAAAAUAUGGAUGAUGUAUCUGUCUUUUGUACACCAGCGCUCGCACCCUUCUGUGGGAACGUGUGCUUUGGGUACUUUUUCAAGCAAGGACUUGUACUGAUCUACCUCAUACAUUAAUUCUAGCUGGAAUAAUACUUGGGGAAAGGAAUAUGAUCCCAAAAAUAACCACAAGGAGAAGUGUGUCAUGAAAGGUCAUGGCACUGGGGCAGAGGAUAUUGGACAGAAGUGUUCUAAAAAUAGGAAUCGAGAGAUCAAAGAACCAGCAGCCGUGAGGAACUUUUUUUGGCCUUGAUUCACAGAAGGAAGAGGCAACACCCCCCAGCCCGCUGGUGCCUUCUGCUCCACCUGCCACUCACACCUCACUUGUGGAACUGAGGGGGCGGGAGGGUGAGGAGUGUAUUUUUCUCUCCUGGGAGCUGACUGCCUUUAAAUCAUGAUGGAAAGUGUAUUUAAAUAAUACUUUAAAACGUGUCAAAAUAGCUAACAUUUUGGAGAAUUUUACAUUACAUAUUCCUUAUAUUGCAAGGAAAGUCGAAGCAUUCUGAUCAAGACUUAAUUUUAGCUUUCCCCUGGACCAGAUCUUUGGGUUUUACAAGUUAACUUCAAUUUUUUAUCACCUCCCUACACUAUACCUGAUGAUUAAUUGUUUGCAAAGCCAAGCACCAGAUUUUAUGUGCAUGCACUACAAAUUGGGUAAGCAGAGGGGCACCUGGGUGACCCAGUUGAUCAAGCGUCUGACUUCAGCUCAGGUCAUGAUCUCACAGUUCGUGGGUUCAAGCCCCAUGUUGGGCUCUGUGCUAACAGCUCAGAGCCUGAAGCCUGGUUCGGAUUCUGUGUCUCCCUCUGUCUUUGCCCCUCCCCCACUCUCACUCUGGUUCUCUCUCUCUCAAAAAUAAAUAAACAUUAAAAAAAUUGUAAAAAAAAAAAAAAAAGUUUGGGUAAGUAAGUUCGACCACAUCAGAUUUCAUCGGCCACUGUUCGUGUUCUGUGAGAAUGAGGCAUGGGCGUAUCUGGCUGCAAGUGAAGAAAUUGAAAUUUUAGAUGUGCUGUCCGAUGCCCUCCCCUUGUAAAUAUAGCUUUGACAAUAAUGAGGUGGGUAGGUUAAGACAGGUUAAAGACAUGGAGCUCUUUGAAUGAACUUUGACAGAUGAUUGUAUUUGUGGUGGUAAGAAUCAGAAAAUUUGGGAUAAGUCCCAUAAUCUUUCUUUUUUUUUUAAUUUUUUUUAAUGUUUAUUUAUUUUUGAGACAGGGAGAGACAGAGCAGAACAGGGGAGGGUCAGAGAGAGGGAGACACAGAAUCUGAAACAGGCUCCAGGCUCUGAGCUGUCAGCACAGAGCCCGAGGUGGGGCUCGAACUCACAGACCGCGAGAUCAUGACCUGAGCCAAAGUCGGCCGCUUAACCAACUGAGCCACCCAGGUGCCCAGUCCCAUAAUCUUUCUAAAGGUCAAUUUACUCAACAGUGAAAUGAGCUUAUUGGCACUUGGUUUAGAGACAGUAUAUGUGUGGAGGUGUUUGCAAACUACAAGUACAAAUGUUCCUUUUAAACCUUUAAAAUUCUUUGUCAAAGAAUCAGUCUGUGCAUUCAGGUGGAAUCCACCCUUCCCUAUUCAAAGAGGCUUCUUUUUAUUCAUUUCAAAACUAUUUACUUCACUCUAGUGUGCAAGGCACUGUGCCAGGCACCAAGAUGCAUUCAGAGAUGAAUCAUACCCAGAGGCUGCCCUCAAGGAAUUCAGGGUACAAGGAGGCAGAUAAACCACUGGAAAAUGCACUGCUUGAUUUUUAAAAUUUAGCUUCAAAUGACAGCAUAAUUGAGCAUAAUACCACAUUUUAUCAUAUAAAAAAUUUCUUAGGUUUUUAUUUAUUUAUUGAAAGAAAAGAGAGAGAGAGAGAGAGCACGACAGGGGAGGGACAGAGAAAGAGAAAGAGAGAGAAUCCCUGGCAGGCUCCACACAGCAUGGAGCCUCUUGUGGGGCUCAAACCCACUGAAGUCUGACACUUAACCAAGUGAGCCACCCAGGUGCCCCAUAAUACCACAUUUUAAAAGUGAUUUAGCCAUCCCUCUUAAAUAUUUAAAUAGUAAUGUACAUGUUAAUCAACAUAUAUUUGUUAAUAGACUAACUUGUAUGCCAUUAGUCAAGAAUAUUGAAAAAUGCAUGUGAAAACAAAGUAUCUUGACUCAAGACAGGCAGUUUGGGCUACUAACUGGCAAGGCACUGGCCAGUUAGUGAUUGAUGAUGAAUGGCAAUACACUAAUCCCAGCCUUUGUUGAGAGAUCAGUCUUCAUUAGGCUCCCCAAACCAAAACUGACCCGAAAACAAUCGAUUCUGUCUGCUCCUAAAGCCAAUAUCUCCAUUUUGUUUUGAUUCAAGGCUUUUUUAGCCCGAAUCCAUGAGUGAAAGGCCCUUUUGUUUACCAUUUUACUUGCAGUUAACAAAUCUCUGACUUAAUUCAAAAAAGAGAGAGAGAGAGAGAGAAAGAGGAAAGUUGAGAUUUCUCCAGGAGACUGGGAUUCCUAAUAUUUAUGUGAGGGAAAUAUAGUUAUGAUCCUGAAAAUUAUGUCAUUUGUUUGGAUUUAAUGAAAACAUGAUAUUUGGCUAAUACAACUUCCAGCUAUUUGAAAACCAUCACAAAAUCUGACUUUUGUAAAAGCCUAGCUUAAAACACAUUCUCAAUCAAAAUUAUGACUUCAAAAAUAUCCUUUGAAUAAGAGUAUGAUAGAUCUUCUGAAAAUACAGGACAUGGUUCUGAUCUCCUAAUAGAAGAAAGCUGCUUCAGGGAUCAGAAAUCUCACUAUUUCCCUUUCAGGGUAACUAUGAGGGCCUGUGCAUUGGUCUGGAGUUGGCCUCUCCUUCAGGGAUUUAAUAGGUUUAAAUCAGUGUGAGAGAUCUUAAAUAUGGUCUUUAGGAAAAAGAAGCUAUUGUAAGCUCAGAAAAGAGGAAUGUUUCAUUUAGUGCUCAGAAUAAUGGUUGAAAACUAUUUUAAAUAGGGGGAUCUGUGGGUGUUAACACUUGGCUAAUGAGUUCCACAGAAUGGUGGGAAGAGAAAUAGAAGUACUGUGUGGGCAACAAGUGUAACCUUCAAGUGAAGAUGCUUGUGGUAUAGGCACAGAGGCCUGGGUUAUAUGACGAGGACAAGACAUACAAAUCCCAGCCAGAAUCUUCAGAAAGCCCCUUCACAGAGAGUCCAGCAGGCUGGGCCCGACUCUCCAACCUGCAAGCCUCUGACUCAAAUGUCUCAAAAAGAGAGCCCAGAUCUAUAUCACAUUUCCAAUGAUAGGCCAUUAUGGAGACCUGGGAUGCUUCAAUUGCCCAUUGCCUCUCAGUAAACAGCCCCACCAGUAAUGCUGCCAGUCCCUGGAUUCAGUCAAAUCAUACAAUAUGUAUUCAUCAAGCAUCUGGUUUCUAUCAUCUGCCAAGCAAAGAAUCAUCUCAUGCCUCCACCUUCCACUUUGGGUUUUGAUAAAGUGCAAUGAGCUUCUGCAGACCUUGAUGGAAUACUUUCUACUGGUCAGAUCAGCAAUGCAGCCCUUAGCUGGUAGCCUCUGGGCCCCCAAUGGCUUCUGGCCUCAUGUUCACAGGUAGGACCCGAGUCACUCAGUGGUUCUCACCAAGCACCCUAAAUGUUUCUGGGAAUCCCUAGAAGCUUUCAUCUUGAAUUGGCCAGUGAUUAUCACUCUUUCAGGAGACUUACCAGCUUUAGGAAUAAAAAGCAGUGUGAAGAUUCAUUCCCUGGCUUUUCUGGUAUUUAUUACUAUGUACCAAAUGGCUCUAAAAUUUAGUAAGUUAAAACAGUUUCCAUUACACCUGAAACUAAUAUUACACUGUAUGUUAACUAACUGGAAUUUAAAUGAAAACAUAAAAUGAAAACAAAUAAAAAAAACAAAAAACCAGUACCCAUUCAAUUAUGUUUCAGAUUCUGUGAGUCAGGAAUUUGAACAGGGCUUAGCUGGGAGAUUUUUAUGCCCCUAAUGAGACGGCUGAAGUUACUCAUUGGUACUCAGCUGGCAGAUGGGCUGGUUGAGAGGGUCUAGGAGGACUUUACUUAUAUGCCUGGCACCUUGGUGGGAAUGGUUGGAAGUACGGGAUCAGCUGGGACUGUCUACUGGAACAUGUACAUGGGGUGUUUCACUUCUCAGAGUGGUUGGAAAUCUUACAUGGAGGUUGAGCCAGCAUCCCAAAAGAAUCAGGAGGAAGCUGCAUGGCUUUUCCUGACCUAGCCUCAGAAGCAUUACCUCUGCAGCAUUCUCUUGGUUGCAAGUGAGUCAUAAGGCCAUCCCAGAUUCGAGGAGAGGGAAAUGGGCUCCCCCCUUUUUUUAAAUAUAUUUUUUAUAAUUUUUAAAAUGUUUAUUUAUUUUUGAGAGAGGGAGAUCACGAAUGGGGAAGGGCAGAGAGAGAGGGAGAGAGAGGAUCCCAAGCAGGCUCCACACUGUCAGCACAGAGCCUGACACGGGGCUCGAUCUCAUGAACCUUGAGAUCAUGACCUGAGCCAAAAUCAAGAGUCAGAUGCUUAACCGACUGAGCCACCCAGGCGCUCCUGGGCUCCCUUUCUUGAUGAGAGGCCACUUUGUAGGACAGCUUGGAAAUAUUUUUGCAGCCCACCUUUGGAAAAUGCAGUCUUCCACCUUAACCUCUAACUGUGUCUCAUUUAUUGCUUAACUGCCUUUGAAUACCUGAUACUGGUCCAGGAGUCAGUUACUAUAUCUAUCCAGAUGCCAACCUUCUUCUCACCCUUCUUUUUCUUCUCUCUAGUCAAGAUGCCCACUCCAAAGGAACUUCCCAAAGACCAUCUAAAAGACAAGGCAGAGUAAACUGGUGCUUAGUUGGAACAGCAAGAUGAUAUGGGUCAAAAAGGAAGGAAGAAUCAUGAUGAGAAGAAUUAAAAGAGGCUCCAUUGAGGAGGUAGCCCUUAUGCUGGACUUUGAUAGAAAAUAGCAUUUUGACAGAUUGAGAACAGCAGAGAAAGGCAUGUCAUUCCCACCUGAACAAAAGCACAGAAGUGUAGAAAGGUAUGUUGUAUGAGGAAAAGCUAAGACUGCUAAAGAAUUUGAGUUUCAGAUUCUAUAGCUGUGUUUUAGGAAGCUGUGUUUUAAGCUGUGUUUUAUGAAUAUGACUCUGGCAGCAGUGUGGAGGAUGCAUUGGAGAGGUGAGAUUUGGUUGGUGAGGUGGAAAGAUGGCCAGUGUGUGUAGAGUAGUAUUCUACUGUGUAUAAAUAGUAUCCUUUCAAAAGGAAAGGAGAUGGCUUUUUUUUUCUCCUGAUCUAUGAGAGAAACAGUAACAGUGACUCUCCAGAAAUGAUGGCUUAAACUGGUACAGUUCAUCACUGUGCUUGGACUUUCUGUCUGCAAAUGCUUGUCUAGAUGUGUCUGGAUUGGAUACUUGGUAGGACUAGUCAUCCCCUUGGGAUUCAUCCCACUCACCCUCCCCCAUCCCAGUGAAUUUAUGCCUCAGCAGCCCUGCAAACCUGCCUUCAGUUCCCAUGAUCACUUCACACCCUUGCCCUAGCUAAGAAGAGCUAAACUUUUCUGCUGCUUCUUCCAUCAUCCCCUCAAACUCGAGGCUGCAACCACACAGAACUUAUCAUUCCCUGGCAUGCCAUGGCCUGUCUCAAUGCCACAUCUCUGUAUAUGAUUUUCUCUCUGCCUAAAGAAUUCUUUCUAUCACCCUUUUUCCACCAGGCAAAUUCCCUAGUCAUCAGUUUAUACCCAGUUGAAACAUCACCUCUGUGAAGCAUGAUGCACUAGGCUGCUACCUUCUGGUCUCCACAAUGCUUAUAACAUCUGUCUCUUUAUAGUGUCGUGUGCAUUUCAUGUAUGUUUUGUAGAUUAGAUUGAGAUCUUUGAAGAAACAGACCAUGCCUUAUCUUUGUAUCACUAGCAUCCCUCAUAGGAUUAGGUAGUCAAUAUAUGUUACAUGAAGGAAGGAAUGAAAGUAGGAACUUCACCUGUCACUUGUUAAUGUAAAUGUUGUAAAUGUUGGUCUGUGUUUCUGAUCUAGAAAUCCAAAUCCCAACACUGAAUGAGGAAGUAGUUGGUACCAUUCUAUGCAGAACAGUGGUAUUUAAGUUUGUUCAUAAGAAGCUAGGUUUCUGUUGACAUAAGGUUACCGAGGUAAUCUAGAAAAUCAACCAGUGAAAACCAGCAGGUCCCAGAGUAGUAGCGCUCUAUUCACAAACCUUGUUUAUUUCUUACAAAUAGUUUCCCAGAGGUAUCAUGAACAGCCCAAUUGCGGUGCCUCUCACAUCCCAGUAACUAUUAAAACUGGCAAUUUCUUGCCUGAUUUCAGAGCUUUGGAGCAGCCUGGAUUCAUCAGUAACAUUCUUUUCGCUGAAAGGCUGAUAUUCACAGGUACCGUAGGUCAUUGUCAACUUCUGCGGCCUCCCUUAAAAACCUAAGGUCACACAUUCAUAAAAUUCUUCCUGACAUUGUGUGGAUAAUAGUGGGGAACUCAGCUUACACAUAUACUAAGCCCUAAAGAAUGCUCUGUGGGCAGAGCUCAGCUUACUUGGGAGAACUUUGUUUGCACAGGGUUUCAGAGCCUGGGUAGUUUCCGAGCCAGGGUAGAUGGAUGUUUUCCCUUUCACCAUUACCCUGCCAUGAACUGCUUUCUAUAAGCACAGUAGUGCUCGCAAGUUGUUGGUGCUGUCUUCACUCUGGCUAGUGCUGCGUGUGCCUUCUUAAGCCUCAGGUGAAUGUAAAGGUACUCUUAGAGAACCUUUACAUUAUACCUUCUUUAUUACACCCUUGGGUUGUUUGCUGGGCUUAUUAAACAACAAUCUGUAAGCUGUAACAUUUUUUAUCCUUCUUAGUAAAACAUUUUGAUUUAAUUUUAUCCAUUAGUUAGUGCCCUCCCUGCCUCUCUCCCUUAAUUUGAUGUUUUCAAAUUGUGUUUUCACUUCUAAGGUGACACAUAGGUGAAAAUGAUCAUUUUAAGGCUUCUGGAUUAUGGGUAAUUCAUCCCAACACCAAAUAAUUCUCCCUUACAGUUGUCCUUUAAGGAAGGAGCUCCCCUAUGCCAUCGAAGGAUCACUAGGGAUUUGAAGCAGAGAAGUUGGUGAGGGGCACUGAAGGGAGAGGGGACUCUGGAUUAGUCUCCUUGGCUUAUGUCCUAAUGCUGCCAGUUAACCAUGUGACUGGACCCUUUCUGGGCCUUGACUUUUCUUGGAAUCAGUUCCUCAUCAGAGGUUUGAUAUAGAUGAAAUGAGGUAGCCCGUAGAAGAUGUGCAGUAAAGAUUGGUUUCUGUCCUUUCUUCCUUGACAGGUAGGUAGGGCUGGAGAGGGCAAACGAAUCAGAAACCUCACACUGAAGAGUUAGAAAACAGCGUCAAUUGGGCACAUCUAAAAUUAGAAUCUAUAAAUAUGUAAAUAGGAUCCAACUGACAAUUAUUUGACUUGCAAUUCUCGAGGCACACAUCUAUUAUACCAGGCAGUGCCAAUUUUGUGAUUCUGUAGCUAUACUUAUAAUCACCAUUAUUUCAAAAGACCCCUUGACUCUAAAGCUUCAUUAGCAUCAUAAAAAUUUCUAUUCUAGAAAUUAAAGGUCUAGACAUAAAGGUCUGCAGGUUCCAGUGAAUGGAUCCCAAGCCCAAGUGUCAGUGAUGUAAAACUUACCUAUAUUUAUAAAAUACUUCUUUGUCAUUCCUCCAAGGAGAUGAGGAAGAGUUCACGCUACUGAAAUUUAAUCUAUAUAAUUAAAUAAGAAAAUAAGAUUUCACUCUUAAAUAUAUUAAUAUCUUCUAUUAAAGCUUGAUCAAAGAUAUUACUUUCCUAACUCCUUUCUUCCAUCAUUGAUUCCCGAAGCUUUUGAAACUUGUGAGUGGAAAAUGUGAAGUACAAAGAAAACACCAUAAACAUUUGGCUAAAUACUCAGGAGUCAAACUUACAGAAACAAGAGAAAAGAUGACAGCUCUUGAUGAUAGAAGCAGAAAUCAAACAUCUUUCAUGUUCUACUUCAAGAUCUAAGUCUAAUAGAAGAGGUUAGAUGAGUGGUAUAGUCCCCAGACCAGCAACAUUGGCACCACCCGGGAACUUGUUAGUCGUGUAAAUUCUUCAGCCUCAUUCCAGAUCUACUGAAUGAGAAAUUCUGAGGUAGACUCAGCAAUCCUUGUUUUAACACUCUCCAGGUGAUUCUGCUCAUGGUAAAGUUUGAGAAUCAUUAGACUAGAUUUUGAAGAAUAAAAGAACAUAAUCUUCAGAAUGUCAUUAUAAAAAUUUUACUGCAUGCUUGAAGAGAAAAAAUUACAGGGCUAUAUGGUCCUUAGCUAAAUAUACCUUUAGACUAAUGGCUUUCUGGAAGCCAACACCACUAUAGAAUGAUAGUUUGGGGAGGAUUCAAAGGUCACCUUUUAUAGCCUACCUCAUUAAUACAGAAAUGCUUUAGCUGCCAAAGUGAGGUUAUAACCUAUGAAUAGUCUGUGAAACUAGUUCCAUGACAUAGUUAUGUACAGAGGAGAUUGAUGCCCAAGUAUUUUUAGGGUACUCUGGGUUACACAAAAUGAAAAAGUUUUCCUUGUUAAGUGUUACAAGAAGUGAACGUGUUUAAUUUUGUUUAAGCCAGUGCUCUGCAGGACUUCUCAGAGCUUUUAAUAUGUGAUGGUAUAAUUGUACCCUCUUUUGUCUAUGAAUGGUUCUUUAGUUUAUGGUGUUUCUCAAACUGGUGGACUGUGGAAAACUUUUUCUAUAGAGCAUCCCUUGGGACCAGAGUUGUGCAGAAUCUAUUUUGGGAAACGCUGAUCUGAAUUAUAGAAUGAUAGAAUUUCUUGCUUGGAGCUGUCUCAACCACUUGGUAUCAACCAAUUGAAUCCAUCAGUUCCAAACACCUGGCUUGCUUAGAGUCACAGGACUAAUUAUCCUGGAGCUACUUUUAACUUCCUUUUUGUGCUGUUACCAGCCUUCACAGAUAUGGGAAUCUUUUUGUAAACAUCAAAUUUCAUUGAAGAAAAUAGGUAUAAUAUUUUAUACCCGUCCCUACAUUGAAGAACACCCACCUCCUACAUUGAAGAAAAUAGGUAUAAUAUUUUAUACCCGUCAGUUAGAUAGUGGCCUAACAAUGGGUAAAACCACAAGCUUUGGAGUCCCAAUUCCAGUUCCAUUAUUGACUACCAGUAAAACCAAAGGAUGAGUUACUUAAACUCUACAAAUCUGUUUCUUAUGCAUAAAAUGGGGAUAACUAUUGUACCUCCCUUCUGGGCUGUAAUAAGAGGCAAACAACAUAAUUUUUAUAACAUGGUUAGCACUGUGCUUGCCACACUGUAAAUGCUCAAUAAAUGUUAGCCACUGUUUCACUGGUUGAUUGAAAAUAUAUAUAAUGGACAGAAGUUACAACCAAAUCCACAAGGCCUUUAUAGAAUUUGUGUUUUAUGAAAUCAAAACGGACUGUACAUGCCUUUGGGGGAAAAUAUUGUAUAGAGGUACAAAGACAUUAUUUACUCUACAAAGUUUGAUGUGCAAAUCAAUUUGCAGAUUCUUUGGAGUAAUUCUACAACAUUUGAGGUUUACAGACUACACAUUAGGAACCAAUGGCCCGUGUCACCCUAUUUUUAUCUAAAAAUAGACCGUCUAUUUUUAAAAUAUUUACAUGAGGAGAGAACCCUCGGCCUUCUUUGUUCUAUUAUCCUGUGUUUAAAUUGCCUUGCAGUUAAUUUUUUAUGUGUCUCUUUGGGCAUGUUCAAAACCCAUUUCUUCUGGUCUAAUCUUCUGCAGACCUGAACCGCUGGUCAGCAUCUUCCUCACAGUGACAUUUUACUCAGAGUAAAACCUCUUCCUAAAGAAACCACUCUAGGGCGCCUGGGUGGCUCAGUCGGUUAAGUAUCCGACUUCGGCUCAGGUCAUGAUCUUGCGGUCCGUGAGUUCGAGCCCCACGUCAGGCUUUGUGCUGACAGCUCAUAGCCUGGAGCCUACUUCAGAUUCUGUGUCUCCCUCUCUCUCUGACCCUCCCCCGUUCAUGCUGUCUCUCCCUGUCUCAAAAAUAAAUAAACGUUAAAAAAAAUUAAAAAAAAAAAAAAGAAACCACUCUAUCAGUCAGUUAACAAUAUUAUGUGCCCAGCACUUGAGCAGACACCUUUGGACAGAUAGAAGACAUUUGAAACCUCUUCUGUCACUUCAGGGAACUUAUUAUAUAGCAGAGGGAACAAAUUUAUCAUUUGAGAGUAUCCAUGUGUUAUACUGGUAAUAAAGGCUGAAAAUGCAGUUGAUGUUCAGAAAAGGGCAAAAUCAAUGUGGGAAAAUACUUGCAAAGCUCUGUGGAAGCAGAAGCUGUGUUUAGUGUGAAAAUGCUAAAUUGGGAAUUGGGAUUUAGGUUCUAAUUACAGGCUUUGAAAUGAAAUGUGACCUAGAGCUAGAUUUUAACAUCUCUAGAUUUAUCCAUAAAAUGGACAACUGGAUUAGGCUCUGCCUGCUGCCACUUAAUGAUGGGAGACCUUUAUUCCCAAUGCACAUUUUCACACUGAAUGCUCACACAGACUCUGGGAUAGGUACUGUUAGUAGUCCCAUUUUUCACUUAAGGACACUGAGGCUCAGCAAGGUUAUGUAACCUACAACUGUGUAGCUAUAUCUGGUUCCAGUACUCCUACCCAAAUUUGAUGUACUCUGUCUGCUUUUUGCUUAAUCACAGGGCCAACCUUCCCUUUUGAGGGGAUGAGAAAGGGUUUAAGUUGGACCUUCUGAGAGGGGGGAGGGCAGAGAUUGAGUUUCACUGUGGGUCUAACUCAAUGCCCAGAGUACAUGGUAAUUUAUAGUACAACUCCCUCCCUGACCCCAGAAAACCUAUAAUAUGAGGUUAUUUCUGUCUCCAAACAGCAGCAUUAUUAUGAAGAUCAGCUGAACAUGAAGUGAGUUUGUUGCUUAUUCAUUAACCUUUUCUUUUGGAGGUAUUUUUCUCUUUUUUCUUUUUUUAGUUCUUCAUUUUGACAUUGCGUUCUUAAUUUCUUUUUUUCUUUUAGAGAGUGAGAGAGAGUGAGCAGGGGAGAGGGGCAGAGGGAGAGAAAGAGAGAAAGAGAGAGUCUUAAGCAGGCUCUGAGCUGAGCAUGGACACAGGGUUCCAUCCCAUGACCCUGGGAUCCUGACCUGAGCCGAAAUCAAGAGUCAGAUACUCAACCCACUGAGCCACCCGGGCGCGCCUCUAAGUUCUUAAUUUCUUAAGUAAAGCUCUUCCUAUCAUCAUGUAUACAGACAGACCAUUUUCUCCCCACCUCUUACAUAUCAUUAGCUUGUAAAUAAUCACAAGCAUAGUAUCACAUUUAGACUUUUAAUAAAAGAAUAACUACAUUGAUUUUCAUUUGCUUCUGCCGCAUUAGGAGUUCAGAAUUCUGUGACUUUUUCAAUCUCUAUAUUAGGGUUUUUUGCCUUUUGUCUUUGCUUGAAUCUGACCAUUUAGAGGUGAAAGAGCCCUUGACAGUCAUCCUGAAUUUCUACUGAGUGCUCACGCUGUUUCAGCUGUGUAUUGUAUUUGAUCUGCUGAAAACCCCCAAAAGUUAGGAACCACUAAUUGUCCCAUUUUACAAGUAAGGAUAUUGAGUUGAAAGUCAUUUGUCCAAAGUUGCAUACUCAUUCAGCAGAGUCAAGAUUCAAACUCAGUUUGGCACCAAAACCUAAGCCUUUAAACUUGAGAUUACACUUUUGCCUCUUCCAAAGGAAAGAAGUAGGACGUAUGUAGGAGGAUUGGUUACCUUUUCUCCUCCUCCUCCUCCUCCUCCUUCUUUAGCUUGAGCUGAUUUAGGUGGAGCUUAUGUGAGCAAUAUAGGAAGAUUAAUUAUUUAGGCUAGGCAGCAAGGGAAGGAAAUUAAGAGAGGGAACAUUUUGGAUAUAUACUUACGUCUCACACACACCUCUUUCCCGAAAGGAGAGUUGUUUCCUGACCAAUUUUCCUAGUGAAAGAGGUCAUUCACAGCUGGGAAAAGCAGGCCUCAUGGCUGGCAGGAUUCAACUGCCACUGUGAUCCCAGUGAGUAGUAAGUUGGAGGAAUGAAUAGCUUUCUGUCAUUUUUAAUGUAUUUUCAUAAUUGACAGGAUGAAAAUUAACCCUUAUCUUUAUAAUCUUCAGGAAAUUACUCCAUUUUGUCACCUCCACUUUCUCUUCUUGUCAUGCUAAAAUCACUUGUCUGAUAUUUUCUUUUCCUUUGCUAAUAGUAAGCCUUUAAGUUAUUAAAGAAAAAGAAUGUUAAGGCUUCUGCUUUGCUGCUUCCUCUCUGCUGUGAGAGUUGGUUCACUUUUUGAGGUUCCCUCUCUCUUCCUUGGAAAGGUUCAUUUUCUGUUGGGAGUCACUCCCAGCCCUGCUUUGUGCCUGUGAACUUGAAGGCAGAGUUUGGGCCACUGAAUGAAGCAGAGGAAUGAUUGGGUGGCAGGGGAAGGAGGCUGUUGACUUCACUUAAAAUAUUUUUUGAAAAUACCUCAUAUAAUGUUAGGUUUUGUAAUGCCCCUAGCUCAUCUCUGACACCCCCCCCUUUUAAGUAAACAUGAAGAAUUAUAGCAUGUACAGAGGAAGUUAGAAAAUGAACCCCACUGUUCCUAUCUCCACAGGCAUCUGUGCGGGUGUGACAGCGUGAAUGGGCCCUUUGGGAAUUCUAAGGGGAAUCCUCUAGAGCCAGAUUCUUCAACAGGGCAAACUUCCAUCAGCUGUGUAAAUAGUGUGGCAAUGUGUGGAAGCCACAGGCAGUUUCCUGAUAGUCAGCUACUGUGCCCAGGUAGUUAAAAGGAUUCGUGUUCCAUCCUGAGGCUUGGAAGAUGUGAGUUGAGUCUUGUAGUCCCUGAUGAGUGGGUGGGUAGAAAUUUCCUCUUCACUUCAUCCAGUGCGAAGGAAGGCAGUCUGAUUAAGGUAGGUAGGGCUGGCUGCUAAAACCACACCUAAAAGAAAGCUUCUGGGUGUCUGACUGGAAAAAACUGUAACUGCAGACUGAGGACAAAAUCGGGCACACACUGUCAGAGGGUGUUGUGCUCUGAGGACAUUGUGCUCUGAGGUUGUAUAUUUAGCUGCUCUUUAGAAUGUGAAUUUAGCACGACUGAGUGACUCAGUCACUUAAGAGACUUGAUCUCAGUUUAGGUCUCGAUCUCAGUUUGGGUCUCAAUCUCAGGGUCAUGAGUUUAAGCCCUUCACUGGGCUCCCCGCUGGGCCGGAAGCCUACUUAAAAAAAAAAAAAAAGUGAACUUAAAUGCAAUUCAUGUAUCUAGUUUCUUUUCCCCACAACAUCUGAAAGCAAGCAGCAAUCCUGACAGCCUUCUGUCCGUCAAGCAGUGCCACCUGCCUGUGCCUGAGCCCCUGCUGGAGGCUGGUUUGCAGCUGCACUGACCUCGGCCCUUCCCCAUGCAGAAGUUGGGAUGUUUGCUCCAGCUCCUGAAUCUGAAGUUGCUUGGGUUUUUGUGUACAUGUUCUGCAGCCUUCACCACUCUGAUGUCCAAUUUUUGUUUGUUUUUUGUUUAGCUUAAACAAAUGGGCGUAGAGACAAAACAACUAGGUACAGGUAGUUUUCUAUGUACAUCUGUACAUAAUGCAUUCCUGCAAAUAGGUAUAAAUCUGCAAGACUCAAAUAAUAGGUUUACCUAUUAUAAACAGCAUCUUGGGACCAAAAACCUAAAAGUGCUAUAAAAUCCCUGAAUACAUCUUGUAUUUAGAAAUAAUCUUUAAUUGUGUGUUUCUAGAAUUUGGUUUGUGCUCUCUCAUUUAAUUCUUUCCCUUCACCACUGGAUACCUGGAGUCCUGGCUAAAGUCCAACUAUCAUCCAACUGAGGCAAAGGUUUCUCUGCUUUUGACUUGGCCACUGUUUUCCCAUUUUCAUCUUAAUUGUAUUAAUUCUUUGAGAUUUAUCCUUCUUAUCGUAGUAUCAGUAUGUAUUUUUCCAUUGUCAGCCCCACUUUUAUGAAUGUGUACGGAUAAAACCCAUAAAAAUGCUCAAAUAAUUACUUAGACAAGUACUCUUAUGAAAAGAUGGAAGCACCGUGCCCAAAGACCAACUAUACCCUCUGUCAUCCAGUUUCACCAUAAGCAAUUGAAGUGCUAAGUUUCUCCUUUCUUUAGUGUCCUCUCAACUUGCCUAAACCAAUCUGGGAAUUACUAGAAAACAAGAUUGCAUGUUGUUGUGGGUAUGUUUUCUUGAAGUGAUCAACUUUUUGGUCUUGGUGAGUGGUCUAGAACCACAGGAAUUGAUGAAAGACAGGUUUAGAGGUUUAGUGAGCAUGAUGAACAAGUUGGCCUUGUACCAGUCUAGGAGAAGUCUGUCACUCAAUUAGAUCUCAGAGUAUCCUUGAUAUAUUGUUGUUUUCUUCAAAAUAACAGAACGUUUGAAUUGUUGUUUUGUCAUUUUUAAGGUUCAGUGUGUUAGACAUGUACAUACAGUGUUGUGACUAAGAAUUUGAGAGUAACUCCAGAGAGGAGGGAGGAAAUGGAAACCAGUGUGUGAGGGAGUCUGGGUCAUUCGUUGUCUUUUGUUAUCACAUUUAUUGGAUCCUUGUAAAGACAAUCUGGUGAAGUAUUAUAUUGAACUUCAUCUCUAUCUUAAUAUCACAUAAAAAAAUAGAUCUGAGAAGGAGUGUAGUAGAAUCAUUAACAACAUAGACUUGGAAGAAAGAUAGAGAGUUUGGAUCCCAACUUCAACACUUUCUAGUUGUGUGAUCUUGGGUGAAUAUUUAACCUUGCUGACCCUUAGCAUCCUCAUUCAUAAAAUGGGGAUAGGUAUGCCCAUCUCUUUAGAUCCUUAUAAAGAUUAAACAUAUUUCAUACAUUUUUGUGAAAUUACCCAGCGUUAGCCAAUGAACAUCAGUUUGUUUCAAAGAUUGUCUUGGUGUCAUCUGAAAACUUGUGUUUCUCCAUUUCAUUUUUAACAAUUAUUAGCCAAAUAACAAUCCUAAUCUUGGUAAACAGAGAAUGGAGGAUGGCUGGAUGGCACGCAAGUAUACUUUGGGGUUAGACAAGGUGGGCCUGAGUAUCGGUGCCAUCAUUUUCUCCCUGGCUGUGGCUGGCUUUUCAUAAAUCAAUAUGUUGGUUGAGGGUAUAGAUAGAGAACUGUUUCCUUUGAAAGAUUGGGAAAACAUUGAUCUAGCCCUUGGAUUCUCACAUCUCACAUUUACCUGGAUUUGUGAUGUUGAAAGAUUUUCAGAAAUUGAGCUAUGAGGUUAACAUAAAUUGCCUAUUUUCUUGUGACACAAAUUCCAGCCAGAUAGCUGGAAACAGGAGAACUUGAAGAGAUUUUUUUUAAGUUUAUUUAUUUAUUUUGACAGAGAGAGAAAGCAGGGGAGGACAGAAAGAGAGGGAGAAAGAGAAUCCCAAGAUGGCUCUGUGCAGACAGCACAGAGCCUGACGUGGGGCUCAAACUCACAAACAGUGAGAUCAUGACUUGAGCCGAAAUUGAAGGUCUGACACUUAACUGACUGAGACACCCAGCACCCCGUAGAAGAGAUUUGAGAGGAUAGAGAAUUCUGAUUUCCUCAGAAUCUGAGCAGUCAUGGGCUGAGGUAACAUUUUAAAGUCACACAGAUUCCUGCAUGCCCACACUUAGGCUUUCAGAAUCAUUCAUUCUUGGUGUGUUUUCAAAGGUCAGGGCAUACCAGCACUUUGUCAGACUCUUUCAUAAAUGGUCUCCUAUUUUAAAACACCAGUUUCUCAUCUGAGCUCCCUUGUACAAUUAUGAAUAAUGUUCAAGGUCUGGAAUAAGGAGAUCUGUAUUCAACCCUAACUUCUACCAUUAUUAUCUAUAUGACCUUGGGCGAAAGUAUUCUUUAACAAUGCUGAGCCUGAAUUGAUCCAUUCCAACAAUGUGUAUAUUAAUACCUACAUCAAGUUGUUUUGAGAACUAAAUAAGAAAAUGUGGUUAAAAUUGUUUGCAAGCUCUACUACUGAAAUCAUGAGUUUUAGUGGUAGAUGGUCACAGGAUUCUGCUAUAUCCUGUAAAACAUAAACAAACACGGGGGCCUGGGUGGCUCAGUUGGUUGAGCAUCCAACUCUUGGUUUUGGCUGAGGUCAGAGUCUCACAGUUUGUGGGUUCGAGCCCUGCAUCAGGCUCAGUGCUGACAGCCAGGAGCCUGCUGGGGAUUCUCUCUCCCUUUUCCUCUGCCCCUCUCCUGCACACGCACUCUCUCUUUCUCUCUCAAAAUAAAUAAACACAAAUCUAUACAAAAUCACUUACCAAUUUUUGAGACGGUAACAAUCAGGAAUGCAAACAAAUGCCUAUGAAAUACUUUUUUUACCUGUAAUACUUUCCUAUGAAAUGCCAAGGCAAGGGCCAAGAGCACAAAAUAUUUAGGUUUCCCACAACAACUUCCCCUCCAGGCAAUAGCAAGAAUAAAAUGACAGUAAAUUUCUACUUUAGCACACAGGCAUUUCUUCUGGUGUUUUUUGUUUUGUUUUGUUUUUUGUGUGUGUGUGUUUACUUAGAAGGAUUGUAUAUUUUUAAAAGGAAGGUUGGUUUAGCCUAAGUUCUGCAGAGCCUCCUUCAAAAAAGAGUUUUAAUCUUAGAGAAAUAAAAAGGCUAUCACUUAGAAAAAGUGCAGCUGGGUAGGCCUUUCAAGUUGUGACUUGAUUAUGGCAGGAGAAUUAACUUUUCUUGAAGUACCAAACCUCCUAACUUGGCUGGGUAGUGGCAAAAUGCUUGGGGACCAUCAGUCUUCAUUUGAUCAUAAUGAAUGAUAAAGGGAAAAUCACAAAUGUGCUCUGAUUAGUCGUCCAGUCGAUAAAUAUUUUCUAAGAGCCUAUCAUAUGCAAGAAGUUGCUGGUUUUUGUAGGGAGGACAGGAGGAUGUCUUUGGGGGAAAUUGUUUAAAGAUACAGGAGUUACAGUCUGGAUCUCAACGAAAUUUACAUUCUAGUGGAGAGAUAAAAGUAUACAUAGCCCAAUCACAAGGUACCAAGAGUAGUUUCAUAGGAGAGGAUAAAAUGUAUGAUCGUUCAGAAGAAUAAGAGGAUGUUCUCAUUUAGAGAAUCAGGAAAGAGUUAAUGGAGGAGAGGUGGUGUGAACCAGGCUGCAUGGACAUAUGGAAUAAGGAGGAAUGAAAUUCCUGGUACAGGAGAAAUGAAGGUCAAGGUGUAAGAGUGGGUAGACGGAAGGAACCUAAAGACAAAAGAGGGAAAUAAGACUAAAAAGUCGAACCCUAGGCUUAGAAAAAGGGGGCCAUAGUAAAUUGGAAAGAGCAUUGGCUUGGCAUAAACUGGAAUAGUGGUAUAUUUCCUUUUUUUCAAAGGGUCACAUUUUUUUCUUAUUUUAAUGUUUUUGAAAUCAAGAAAAACCUAACAGUCAAUAUGUAUAUUUAGUGUAAUACUUCUUUAUCACCUAAAAGAGGUUAUUGAAUCAAUGGUAUAUCCACAAUUGGUGGAAAUAUUUUAAUAUUCCAUGACUGUAAUUCUCUAUUUCAUACACAAACACUCUAUAAGCUUUUUGGAGAAAUAAGAAAAUGACACAUGCAAAGUACUUGUCAUACAGUGUGCUCAGUAAACUGACUACUUUUACAAAAACAGGGUUGAACUAGGUUUGACAGGCAAGGGAGAAGUCCAGAAGGAUUUCAAAAAGGGAGAGACAGGAAGAAUCAAACUUUGACAUCAAAAUCACCUUCCAAUAUUUUCAAGAACCAGUUAGGGAUGGAACAAACCUUCUUGGGACCCUAUUCCAAUAGUCUAGGCAAGAGGUAAUGAAGGGUUAAUCAAGGAGUGAACCAGUGACAGUGAGUGUGACCUUUGCCUUGCCUGAGAGGUGUUAUCACCAGGACUUGCCAACGGGUGGGGUGCAUCACAAGGAGAGGUAGUCGUGAUUGAGAGGAUUGUACUAUUAGCAGAAAUAGAAGACAUGGGAUAUGAUAUUGUACUUUGUAAGGAAAAAUAUGUGUUUGGUCAUUUAGGUAACCAAAUAUCUAUUUCUCCUAUAGUUGGUCUUCACAGUUCCUGACUCAUACCUCCCCAAACCUUUGGGAUUUCCUGUGUUGAGAGAGACAAAGGUGUCUCUUGUUAUGUUAGUGAAAUGACUUUUCUAUUUCACCUAAGGAGUGGGACUGGUUGCCAGGAGAAUCAACCUUGUGAUUGGAGGCUUGGAACUUUCAAUCCCACCCCCAACCUCUGGGGAGGGGGAAGCCUGGAGGUUGAAGCAGUCGCCAGCUGUCAGUGAUUUAAUCAAUCAUGGCUAUGUAAUGAAGCCUCCGUAAAAUCGAAAGAGGAGAGGGUUCAGAGAGCUUCUGGCUUGGUGAACACUUGGGUGUCUGGAAGAGUGCACACCAGGAGAGGACGUGGAAGUUCCUCGCCCUGUACUCAUACCUUGCCCUACCCAUCUCUUCCGUCUGGCUGUUCCCGAAUUAUAUCCUUUUAUAGUAAACCUGUAAUCUAGUAAGUAAAAUGUAUCUUGAGUUCUGUGAGCCACUCUAGCAAAUUAAUGGAACCCGAGGAGGAGGUUGUGGUAACCUCUGAUUUAGAGCCCAUUGGUCGGAAGUGCAGAUAACAAUCUGGACUUGUGUUUCGCAUCUGAAGUCCAAGGUGGGGGCCAAGGGAAUUUCCAAUCUAUAGCUGGUUGGUCAGAAGCACAGGUAACCUGGGCUUGCAACUGACUUCUGAAGUGGUGGAUGAUGGAGGGAGGGCAGUCUUGUAGGACUGAGCUCUUACCCUGUGGAAUCUGAUGCUGUCUCUGGGUAGAUAGUGUAUGAAUUGAGUCAAAUUGUAGGACACCCAGCUGGCAUCCAAGAAUUGCUUGACAGCACUGGGGGAAACCCCUCCACCCACACACAUGGUGAAAUUGGUGAUCUAGAACAUUUUAUGGGAGAAGCAGCAAGUGCGGAAGCAAAGCUGAUAUGUUUGAUUUGAGACCCCUUGAACCCAGCUCCAGAUGGAGAUGUCCAGGGAGCAUUUAGAAAUUCGUAAUUUCAUUUUGGAAAACAGAGACUAAAGAUGUCAUUUUAGAAUCAUAUUCAUUCAGGUGAUGGUUGAAUCCAUGGAGGCAGAUAAGAUUUGUAAGGAAGGGAAUAUACAAGGAAAAGAGAAGAAAAUUAAAGAAUGGAGACUUUAAACAGGAACCAGAGAAAGAAGAAUUUGAGCAUUUGGAGAAGAACUGGAACAGGACCAUGAACCCGAAUCCAAAGAGAAACAGUGCUAAGCAUGAGCACACAUUCACAAAUUGGUAUGAAUACUUUUUUUCUCUUUCUUUUUCUUUUUGUAAUUGAGAUAUAAUUGACAUAUAACAUAUUGGUUCCAAGCAUAUGGGUGUGGUGUGCUGACUAUAUUAAUACUAUAUUGUAUAUUUGAGAGUUGCUAAGCAAAUAGAUACUAAAAGCUUCCAUCACAAGAGAUGCCUCUUUGCACACCUGACUUGUCUUUGAGUAUCUCUUGACAUUUGGCUGUCAUCUUUUUCCUGCUUUCACUUCUUUGCUUUUGCUUCGAUUUCUGAGCCCUUUUCAUUGUGACCUGCAUUUCUGUGGUUGCUUUAGUAGCUUUGAGGGGUUUUAUUUUAUUUUUUUUCCCUCUUGCUCAUGUGCUUGUGGGAAAAUGCAGAGCACAGACUUUCUAAGGCAGACCCUUAGGGUAAUCCAAUACUGAUGUGUAAGAAUGUCAGAGAAAAAUAAAACUAAGCCCACCUGGGCAAAAUCAUGGAGUCAAGCCUCCGGUGUUCCUCUUUUAUGGCAAUUCAACACUAAUAAUAAUAAUAAUAUGAACAUCUGGUUUAGGAUCCAAGCAUAGACCUACCUAAAUUCACUUUAAAAUUUCCUGGAAAAGAUACUCUUGCUUGUCACACAGAACCUUCCCACUCCUCUUCAGUUCGUCCCAUUGUGUUGAUAGUUCUACUUCCAUGUUGUUUUAUACAGUAAUCAGUUCUUUCUUUACGUUGCCAUUCAGGGUCCUUUAAAUAAGCACAUAUCCACAGAACCCAUUUGAAAUUUUGAGAAAGCUACCCCAUAGCUUAUGUUGAAUACAUUAUAAUAUAGCCAAAUGUACUUGCAGAAAGCACUAGUCUGUAUCUGCCAUAAAGUUUUAUACAUCAAUAGCCUGUUGGCAGAGCAUUUAGUUCUAGUGUUGGAAACUUGUAGGCAUGGAGUAGGUUUGGUUUUGAUUUUCCGGCUAAUGGGAAUUGUGAUGUGAAUGUUCAGUGCAGCACCAAAUAUGUGACUCUGUUAAUGUGUCGGUUUUAACAGCAAAAGCAGAAUUGGCUUUACCAAAGGGAAAAAGAACACACAUUUAUUUUCUGUGUGUUUUUUUGUUUUGUUUGUUUUUUCUAAUUUUAACAAUGGUUUUGAUAGCUUUAAAAAAUGCUCUUGUUGGGGCGCCUGGGUGGCUCAGUCGGUUGAGCGUCUGUCCGACUUCUGCUCAGGUCACGAUCUCAUGGUUCAUGACUUCAAGCACUGCGUCAGGCUCUGUGCUGACAGCUCAGAGCCUGGAGCCUGAUUCAGAUUCUGUGUCUCCCUCUCUCUCUGCCCCUUCCCCGCUCAUGCUCUGUCCCUCAAAAAUGAAUAAACGUUAAAAAAAAAUUUUUUUUAAAUGCUCUAGUUGACUAAACCAAAUUAAGACUUUUGAAUGAGAGCAAUUAAAAGAUGUCAGGCCCUUAAGAUUAUAAUUUACUGAGUCUGGGCCAAGAUUGGGGCAUCUUAUUUCUAAGAAACUCCCCUAAUUUUCUGAUACACACCAAAGUUUGAUGAUCCUUGUUUUUCUGAAAUAAGUUCUAAACUAAGGUACAAAAACCUGAAUGCAAGUAGGGAACUAUCCAGUAAAAAUAAUAAUAAUAAUAAUUAUAAUUAUAAUUAUAUAUAUUUAAAUUAGCUAUAGAUACUAAAACCUCCAAUUAUUUGUAGCUUAUAUAGAUAUGCACUAAAAUAAUUGAGUAAAUCCUGUAAAAGAAGGACAUGUUUUUGUGAAAAUUUGUGGAAGAAUGGAGAACUUUCAGAAAACUGAAAGAGAGCCAAUAUCCUAUCUAAAUAGUUUUGAAGGAAUAGAUGAGAUCCAGCCAACUGCAGGCUGUGUGUUUAAUUUCCAUUGCUGAAAAGAACACACAGCACUGGGAAUAUUGUCAUAAUGUUGGUUUGGUAAGUGAGCAACUGUUCUUUAACCCGACUUAGGCAGAGCAGAAGGAAGUGGACUGAAACCAGAACGUGAGGGAUUUAGGUUAGAAGGUAAGUUUUAUGACUGGGAGGAAUACUGGAACAACUUCCUAAGAAACAUUGUGCAACCUCUUUCUCUAGAGGUCUUUAAAAAUAGGACAGAUUUUUGUGUCUGAUUUAAAUCUGGUGCUGCCCAAAGCUGAAGGAAAGCCAAAGAGCUUUAUUUUAUGCCUCAUAUAUAUUUUGAAGACCUUUUAAAAUCUAUUUCCUUAUUUCAAAUAUUGGAAACUAAGGAUUUGUGUUAUAGGAUGACAUCAUUGAUUUUUAAAAUAUUCUUCCACCUUAAGUAAAGUUUGCUAUACAAAGAUAUAUAUCUUUGUGUCACCUAUCUAUCUAUAUGGAUUUAGAUUUAUAUCUCCUGUAUAUAUGGCUUCCAUCUCAUUUCCAUGGGGAAAGAAAAAAUUGCUAAGCACAUCCACUCCCACCCCACCUCCUUUUUUUCUUUUGCUUUGGCACACUAUGUUGUGUAUACAUGUGACCAAAAACAGAGUUUAAAUGAGUAGUCACAGCAACCUUUUCUGGCAGGCUUUGGCAAAUCAAGUAUAUGCUAUAUAAUGUAUAAUAAUUAUACAUGAAGAAAAGAGGCAGAGGGCCCAGAAGCUCUUGGCAGCUGUGCUGUCUGGUUAGAAAAGGAAGCAAGUUACAGAGUUUGGACAUUCAGUUCUGAGACGUUAUUCCUGAGUCAACAGGAUUUUAAUUAUGUAUGUGGCUUAGAAGAGACAUUUACGCAAGAGGAACAUAUUGUUGUCGAAUGUGUUUGUGAUUUUGCUCCUGGUUCAGAAUUGGAAGGAAGCAGAAAGUAAUUUCUGAAGGUACAUAACUGAAUUGAAGGAACAUAGAAUAACGGAUACCUCUCGUACUGGCAGGAAAACAGCCAAUAUCCUGGCUUUCCCUUCCCAUUCCCUCACUCAACACCGUACCUUGUCUUUUAUAGUUACCCUUUUGCAAAAAGCAACAACAAUUAAAAAAUACACAUAUUAUCACAAGACACUUGUAUAUUUCAAGUCAUACUAGUUAGAAAUAAAGGGUGUGUUAAAUAUAACCUCAUCUUUGAACAUCUUUUUCUUCUGUCAUAAUGUUGAGGUCACUUAAAGUGUUUAUAAGUUCAUUGUGUCCUCAUGUUUAUUUUAGUCUAGUUUUGGAAAAAGUUGAAAAUGUACUGCACUGAAACUGAAAUGCUGCAUGGGGAAUAGGAAGAGUAUUCUGAGUUAUGUGGAUAAGUUCUCUUACGGAUAGAGUAGAGGGGAGCAAGGAGCCUGCAGAAGACAAAGAUUUUAGCUUUUCUGAAAGUUAAGCGUUGCUUCCUGUGACUCUAUUCACUGAUUCAUUCACUGAUUGGUUGAUUGAUUGAUUUGGUCAUUCAGUAUUUAGUGAGCACCUACAAUACGUCAAUUCUAUCAUUUAGGUUUAUAGCAGUAGACCUAUGAUUAUCCUUGUUUUUUUUUUUUUUAACUUACCUUCUCCACGCCCAUUCAUGUGUGCAGUAAUGAUAAUGACAUUUUCUGCUUUUAAUAGCUAACAGUUCUUGAGCAAUUACCAGACAUUGUCCUACGGGCAUUUUAUAAAUUACCUUACUUAAUUUUCACAGCAAGCAAUCUUAUGAGAUGGGUUUUGUUAACAACCUCAUUUAAAUAGGAAGGGCCUAAAUACGGGGAGGAUAGGUAUCUUGCACAAGGUUAUAUACCUGAUGAGUGAACCAGGGCUUUUGGACUCUGAGCCUUUUUUUUAACCCCCAUCCUGUACUGCCUCCCAGGAUUAUUUAUGCUAUGAUUUUUUUUGCCAUAGAGAUUUUCUUUAAGUACACAUUCUCAAGGCUGCCUCUACGCCUCAUUGAAGGACAAUUUUUACCUUCUGUUCUCAUCUCUUUUACAUCAUUGAAAAUCCAUCUGUAAUUUUUUAAAUUAAAACUUUUUUUAAUGUUUAUUUUUGAGAGAGACAGACAGACAGAGAGUGUGAGUGGGGGAGGGGCAGAGAGAGAGGGAGACACCGAAUCCAAAGCAGGUUCCUGGCUCUGAGCUGUCAGCACAGAGUCCAACAUGGGGCCUGAACCCACAACCUGUGAGAUCAUGACCUGAGCCGAAGUGGGAUGCUUAACCAACUGAGCCACCCAGGUGCCCCCAUUUGAGGAUGUUUUUUAAGAAAAAAACAAUAAACUGUGUGAGUUCCCAAUUGUUUUAGAUUUUUCAGCACUUAAUGCAGUCUCGGUUCUCUCUUAAAACCUUACAAGGUAACCAAAUCAAUGUGGCAUAUUUGUAAAGGUUAAUGUAAAGUAAAUGACUUUAGAAUAAAAAGUGACGUUUUCCUCAAAUGUCCAUAUAGAAAAAAGCAAUCUUUGCUUUGAGUGUGAGUAACUAAAAAUCCUAAAACCUUGUGAGCUUCUUUGGGAAAGGGAAGAAAAGUGCAGAACGUAUCUCUGUGUAUAUAGUAUUGGUUUCCUCCAACUUAGUAAGAGAUUAUAAGAUAGUCUUCAGCAAACCUAGAAAUGACAACUAUGAUUUUAUAAGCAUGAGAACUUGAAUCAUGUUUCUUUAAUACCAUAUUAUUCAGUUAUACCUUCCAAAAAAAACAUCCUUUUAAGAUGAGCCAGAGAUGCCAAAGCAACAUAUCAUCUUAGAGCAAUUGAAGGUUUUAGGGUUUCCCCCACUGGAAUCCUAUUUCCAGUUGACAGAUUUUGAAGGUUCCCCCAGGGUUUUAGUAGAUGUUAUGUACCUUUUAAUGUAGGGCUUGCAAACAGCAAAUGAUCACUUUGUUAGAACCUGGGGGGUUCAUACUUGGCUCUGCUCUGUGCACCCCAGAGUUAACAUGUAAAAUGGCUGGGGAACAUUUAAAAACCAGGUUCUCUAUUUCAUAUCCUGGCUCCACCACCUGCUAGAUGGUUGUGUGAUACUGAGCAUACUACUUAAACUCCUAGUGCCUUGGGUUUUGCUUCUCUAGGUUGAGAGUAACAUCAGGAUUUAUCUCAUAAAGUUGUUGCCAAAUAAGAUAAUCUGUGGAAAGCACAUGGCAGAGUGCCUGGCCCGUAAUAAAUACCCAAUAAAUGUUCGAUUUUAGCCAUCCCAGAAGUGGUGAGAUUGAAGGUGAUGUGUUGAACUCAGUUUUUUGUUUUGUUUUGUUUUUUUACAAGACCUUCAUAGAAUUAUUUGAUAUUCACACUGUAAUUCGUAGCUUCACGGCACUAGAAACCUCAAGGGUUUUUGGUAUUUUUAGUUGCUCAAAGAAGAAAAGAUUGUUUUUCUCUAUAUGGAUAUUGGAAGUAAAAGUCACUUUAUAAUCUAAAAUAAUUUAUUUUACAUUAACCUUUACAAUGAUGCUAUCUUGAUUUGGUCAUAUUACAAAGCUUUUAGAGAGAAUCAAGAGUGCAAAUGGAUAGUUUUGGACAUCUAGCCUCUGCAGCUAGGAGAUUUGGUUAGUGAGGUAUGCAGAUGGAGACUAUGGGGUGUUUAAGCACAUCAGUGAAUGGCAUGGACUCUGGAUUGGGAAAGGUUAGAGCAUCCUGGAUCAAGUGGAAGGAGAUAGACCUGUGAUUUUUCCCAAAUUGUUAACAGGUAUGGCCUACAAAUGACUCCCUAGUCAAACAAGUAUGGAAAAUCCCAGGUUAAAUGUGGUUAAAUGGCUUUCUUUAUUGUAGAACCAAUCAAUAAUCAGCCUUAAUCUGGAUUCCAGCCCCGUCUCUUGAGACCUGUGUGACUGAAGCAAGUUGGUUAACUUCUUCUGUUUCCCCAGUUGCAAAAUGGGGACCGUAAUAGCACCUUCAUUGGUUUAUUAUGAGUUAAAUGAGUUAAAACUUGGUGCCUGGCUUAUAGGAAGCUCUAUAUAAGUGUCAAGUCUUAUUAAUGUGUGGAAGGAGCAUAGGAACUGGUGUCAUUAAAUCCCAGCUGUGGACUUUGGGCCACAAAAUUUAACAUCUUCGAGGCACUAAAGAGUGCAAAAUGAAGGAGCAAAAAUACCUCCUUCCUCGGCUCAUUGUGAGCAGGGUCAUAUACACAAGAGAUAUUGAAUAUAUAAACUAUAAUACAGUGUGACAUGGUAGGUAUACCAUAAUUGGCAGGUCUCUAUUAGUUUCAUUGACUAAAAUACAUAAACACUGGGUUGAUGGCAUUGAAGAUCUGCAUAAAUCAGUAGAAAGCAACUUGUGCAUUAACAUGCAACUUUUGCAUUAACAUGUGGAGUAUCCUGAGCUUCUGUCUUUUCCCCAUUGUUCAGAAACAUAAGAAGUUGAAAUGGAUCUCUGUCAGUGUUGAGUGGCUUCGGGCCUUAGGAGUCAGGGUUGGGAGAGGCCAGAAGUGCCUGGAUUGUGGGGCAGAAAUAGCCCCUCUAACUGCAAACUCUUAACUGUAAUAUUCGGCAUUACAUUCAAAUAAGAUUUCACUGGUCAAAUAAAUUUGGAAUGUCCUGGAUUAAACAUGGGUAAAUAACUUUAUCGUAGAACCAUUCCAAUGCUUUGCUGUGCUAAUCUGAUUGUUGGAUACAAAUUUGGAAAUGUUAGAAAAGGAAUGCUGUUUGCAGCAUUUCCUAAAUCAAUCCUUUUCUUCUUUCCCCAUAAAAUGUCUUGUGAGACUGAAGAGCCUUAGAAUGCACUUGGGAAGAACUGACCUGGGCAGUCCUGGGGCCAUUGUGUCCACUUCAGUCCCCAGAGGUGGCUAAUGGCCUGGAAUGUCAUUCAGGCUUUGUUGUUAUCAGCAGGAUUCAGCCUCAAUUUGUUUCUAGUAAUGAGGCAGCAGCACAUUUAAACCUGUAAUAGGUUGAACUAUAUGAUGAUGAUAUUUGCUUGUCUUUGACCUACUAAAAUAACAGUUUCAUAUAAUUCAAACUCAUAGGAUAGUGACUUCCCUUUAUGUCCACCUGGUUCAGAACCUUUCCUAACCAUACCGGAAGGAGAGUAGUUAGUGUCUAGGAACUGGAUUCUCCUGCUUUGUACCUAUAUUUAAUAAAUAUUCAUGGAAAGCCUUUUACAGUUGACCUUGAACAACACAGGUUUGAAAUGAUUGGGUCCACUUACACACAGAUUUUUUUUUUAUAAAUAUAGUACAGUAUUGUAAAUGUAUUUUCUCUUUCUUACAAUUUUUUUCAAGUUUAUUUUAAGUUUAUUUAUCAUGCAUGCGUGCACACGUUGGGGGUAGGGGCAGAGAGAGAGGAAGAGUGAGAAUCCCAGCACAGAGCCUGAUGGUGGAGGGCGGGGGAGCUGAACGGGGGGAGGGCUUCAUCUCAGGAACCAUGAGAUCAAGAGUCAGACACUUAACUGACUGAGCCACCUAGGCGCCCCACUUUCUUACAAUUCUCUUAAUAGCAUAUUCUUUUCUCUAGCUUACUUUAUUGUAAGAAUACAGUAUGUAAUACUGUAACAUGCAAAAUGUGUUCAUCUAUCUUAUCCAAGAGGCCAUGGUCAACAGUAGGCUACUAGUAGUUAAGUUUUUGGGGUAUCAAACAUAUGUGGAUUUUUGACUGUGCAGAAGGUCUGCGCCCCUAACCUCCAUGUUGGUAAGGGUCAGCUGUGUACGUUUCAGUGCUGUCCAUAGCAAUUUAUCUAUAAAAUAUUAGCUUCCUCCCUCUUAUUUUAGCUGAAAGGGGCUAGAGGCCUCCUGGAAGGGAGCUGCCUGCUGGCUUUGGAGAUAGUGAGCUGCCCUGAAGAGUGAUUGGCACUUGCUUCACACUAGUCUGGCUAUAUAGAGAAGGCUGACUCUUGGAGGGGGCUACAAGUUAAAGUGGGUGAUUAAUUUAAAAUUCAUUUAGUCAUCUCUUCUUUACCUCAUUCCUUUGUUAUGAAGUACCCAAUGUGCCUAGUUCACUGUGCUAGUUUGGAGAUGCAACAGUGGACAGGAGAACACCCCUGCCUGCCUUUUGCACCAAGAGACUAGAGGGAGGCAGAGGUCAACAGGCAUUGGGUGUGGUGGGCAAAUCAGGGGAGGCCCUGUGAAGAAAGCCAGGUGGGGACGGAGGAUGGAAGGGCAUGUUGAGAGCUCUGUAGUCCUAAUUCUCUGCUCUGGGUGGGGACGAAGUUUAUAGUGUUUCCACCUCACCUGCCACUAAUGAGGAGUCCCAUUCAGUAAGGUAAUUGUCAAAGGGUCACUCUUAUCAAAAGAGUCUGUCCGUCUUGAUGUCCAGGGAAUCCGCCUUGUGGUAUUUGGGGUUUUAACAUACCUCUCUCUCAACACCAAUUUGUUGACUCUAUAGGCAGCAUCAAGAAAAAGCACCAGUAGGGUCCAUUUUAAUUCACAUUACGCAAAAAUCUCAAUUUACAAAUCAGAUAGGUUAAAGGGAAACAUACAGUCUUUUCAGUGUUGUCAGCUUACUGGAUUCUGACCAGUCCAUCAAUUUUAUUGACAAGUACCGGACCUCCAUAUUAGGGAAUCAUCAAACACACUACAGACAGAAUCUCCAUAUUCACACAUAGAGAGUCACCACAAAAUUUCUUUAAUUAUUAUCCUUUUUGGGUAACUAAUGUCUGAUCUUGUCUUCAAAAGUCAAAUUUAUAGAUCAAUUCUAAAGAAUCCUCAAGGGCUCAGAGCCAUACUCUGCAUUUAUCCUCAUGCUGGAUAUGGCCUUUUCAUAAUUCUAAAUGAGCUAGUAGAAAUCUGUUAUAAUAAAGGCUAGACUUACUCUUAAUUUUUUAUUCUAUUAAAUAUUAUCUUUUUGUAACAUUUUUACUUAUUUUUGAGAGAUAUAGUGAGAAUGAGUGCAAGUAGAGGAGGGGCAGAAAGAGAGACACACACACACACACAUAGAAUCUGAAGCAGUCCCCAGGCUCUGAGCUGUCAGCACAGAGCCAGACGUGGGGCUCGAACCCACGAACCGUGAGAUCAUGAGCUGAGCCAAAGUCAAUGCUCAACCGACUGAGACACCCAGGCGCCCCUAUCUUUUCUUUUAAAAAAAAAUGGGGAGUAGGGAGGGGUCAGAAGCCUAAAGAAAAGAGGUAACUUAAUUUUUAAGUUUGAAAGGUUGUAAAGAAUCUUAUUCAAAAAGAAGAAAGGGAUUGCAUACUAUUCUCAUUUUUAAAAAGGUAAUGUGCUUCAAAAUAUAACAUGAUAAUGAUCGUAUUAACUUAAAGAUACAGUCGUUUUAUUAGCACUCACUUAUUUCCUUAAUUCAUCUCAAAUUGAUACCUGUAUUAUUGCCUUACAACAUUUUAUUUUCUUUAAUAGAAUUAUGAAAUUAUUUGAAGGGCCAAGUAAAAUAGUAUUUCUCAAACUCCAGGUUAUGACCCAUUAAUGGGUAGGGAAAUGAAUAAAAUGAGUCAUAAUUGAUAUUUUAUACAACUUGAGAAAUAGAAUAGAAGAGAAAAUACCAGAAAUGCAUUCACUUUGUAAGGGCAGGUUUUGUUUUGAGAAAUUUUGUUGAGUGCAUGUGUAUGCAUGCACACACACAUAUGUAUGUGUGUAUAUACGUGUAUGUAUGUAUAUACACAUACACAUACAUAGACAUAUACACAUACACAUAGACGUAUACACAUACACAUACAUACACACAUGUAUAUACAUUUGCACAUAUAUGUGUAUAUAAAUACCAUAUAAACAUAUACAUGUGAGUGUACUGAAUGAAAAUUUUAAAUGUAUCUCUUGUGGAAUGCACACAAAAAGUUUCAGAGAAAUCCUGUGAUGAAGAAUAUUCAAAAUAAAAAGUAAAAAAAAAAAAAUGACCAUGGUACCCUACCCACUAAAUAUGAUUUUAAAUGCUAAAUAUCUUUAUUAAAGCAAUGUCUUCAGCCUUAGCAAGUUUACAGUUCUAAUAAAAAAAGGCAUUCAGGCAAAAUGUAUUUUCAUAUAUGGGUAUGUGUAUGCAUGCAUACAGGCACCUACCUAUAAAUAGAAUUUCUAAAACCUUCAAAUAUAUUUAAAACUUUUAAAACAUAUUUAGAAAUAGGACUUCCUGAUUCUAUGAAUAACUGUCGUUAAUAACGUAAAGUCAAAGGUGCAGUUAUGCUGAUAUUUUAACAACAUUCACACACUAAGCUAAAGGCCAGUAUGAAAACAAAUUGCAAGUAGUUGCUACUUUUUUCAUUGAAAAUUUACAGCCUAUUUAGCACCUACCCUGUCACUUUAGCCUGGAACGAUAGUAGGUGGUCUGUGUGAUGCAGUUGGAAUCCAGAGAGAAAUUCUGAAACUGAAUUUAAUGGUUGAGAAGAGACAGUCUUAUCCUUCCUCUUAAUGAUUUCCCCCCUGAUCUGCCUCUGAUCUGAACUGGUCUUCCUGAACGUUGUAAUACUGCUCUGCCCUUUCUUCACCAUGGACCAUAUAGGCUUCCCGGGAACUCUCAGGACGAAAAACAUUCCAGACAUUCCUUAACACAACGUUCCUCAAAAGGUUGGUUUCUUAGGAUCCUGUGGAAGCGCUGCCCGCGUGGUUCACAGAGGCCGCCGCACAGGCCUCUUUCAGGAGCAGAUGGGCCAGACAGCGGCAGCUGUCUCUGCUCUGAAAGACUCGCUUUGCUCAACUGGAGCCCAUCAGACUCGCCUUUAGAGGGGUAAAUGAGGACACUGGGAUUCUCGGUAGACAAGAACCAGUCAGUGGGGCCGAGUUUCCAGCAGCACAAGGAAGCUACACAUAGAUUGUAUAUCUUGGUGUGAUGUGUGUUUUCUUUGGAAAGAGGAAUUUAAAUGAAGUUUCCUAUAGCAAAGUCUUGGCCCCCCAAAUCCAAGAGUCUCAGAGUUACUUUUAAUGAAUUCAAGAACCGGUAAUUCUACACUGGAACUCUUCUUAGCUGCCUUUCUUACACAAAUAAUUACAGGACACACCAUUUCCUUCUUUUUCCCUAUUAAUAAUUACAACUCUGCCUCUCCCUCCACCCUCCCUCCCUCCCUCUCUCCUCCCUAUGCCUCUCAUACACUUCCUUUGAAGUUGUCUAAGUCUCCUUUUAGACCAGAGACAAAUUGAUAUCAAAUGUUCCAGGGUUGAAGGUUUCUAAGGAUGAAAAGACAAACCCAAAAAACAUCUUUUACCUAUGACUGGGUCCCUUCACAUUCUUUCCGCCUGACUGACUGUUCACGGCAACCCCUGGGGGGGUUGAUUUGCCUACAACUCUCCUCACCCAACUCAGCCCCUCUUGGUUUCCACAUUCCUUGAUAAUUACAGCCAAACCCAGCAUCUUUCUCAGAAACACAAAAUCCUAGUGCAACAUCUUACACACAAUUCUUCCAUGAAAUACGAGUUCGUGAGUGUUACAGGAUGCGCUCACAUACCUGGACCUGAGUGAUCUGACCAGCGGAGUUUGUCCUGAGGCUCUAUUCUUUCUCAGUGACCCAUGAGAUGCUGAACAAAUUAGAGGUGUUCUAUAUUCAGCAUAUGAUUGACUGCCGAUGAAAUAUGACUCAGAGCCCAGAGGUGCACUACAGAACGGGAUGAUUAAGAAGCUGAGGGAUCAUUUCACAUUCCAAAUGUAUAGUAUGAUAGCUGGAGGAAAUUGUAUCAGCUUCAGUAUAAGUAUUUUUCUCUUCUCUUGUCUUCCCUCCAUGCAGUUGUGGGCUGAGGCUCCCGGAACAUGUUGCUACAAUGAGAGUAAGGUGGGCAGUACUGUUUUCCUGUAGCAUGUAUAAGAUACACAUUUCCAUCUUCUUUGUUUCCAUAUUUGUUAAUCACUUUCCUGGGUCAUUUACCAGAAGGCCUCCUGACUUUGGAAUCUGUGGCAGAAUGUUCAGUGUUUCUCUAAAACAAAGAAACCCACCUAGACAAAUCCUGUAAGAUGUCAUCAUCUAAAAAUACCCCUUAGUGGGUUAUUGAGAGCAGGAAAUGAAGCACAGAUAGCAAGUUCACACUGACUUGUUGAAGUCACUAUGGAGCGUUUACAAGGAUCCCACAGAUGACUAAAAUUAGUUUAUUCUGCACAGCAUUAUCCACUGCUGACUCAAGAUGGUGAUACAAGCAGUGUUAAGCUGUGAGCUCACCAGGAAGCUCAUUCCCUAAAAUUAUUCUCUGGCUGGGAAAGACCCCUAGGUCACAUCAGUGGUUGGAAGAUGGGACAUUAAUAGCAACUUGUUCUGCCAUCACUCAGAAACUGUGUUUUCCUGUUGUCUCCCGUUCUCUGUUUCUUGCCGAUGUAGAAGCCUCCUGAUCAGCCUGUUGUCUCUCCGUGCUCAAGGGUAUGGGAUGUGCAUGUGUGUGUGUUUGUAUGUGUGAAUAUCAUUCUUUUAGUUGUGUAAUACAAUAAUUAGAAAACACGGAGGCUAAGUGAUCUGGGAAGGACCAUCCAGCAACUCACCAACACUCAAAACUGAGUGUCCUAUAAUUUCAGUCCUGUAAUUUUCAAAGACUUUUAGACAUACUGAGCCUUUGCUGUUUCUCCUAUAAAGCAAAAUGCAGGCUCUAAGAGUUGCCUUAAUGUAGGUGGUCAACUGAUUAGAAACAUGUUCAGGUAGGUGUACGCAGAAAAUAUACAGACACAUGUGCUGUUGGGGUGGUUUUUCUGUUGUGAGAAAAGGUUUUCUGUUUAAGGGCAAACUUAUUAAAAUGAAGCUGCAUCCACACUCUACUAAAAGUUACCAUCUUUGUUGAUUCACUCAAGAGGUCGGUUCAAGUAAAGAAAAAAAAAAAAAGUCCUACAAAUCAACUCUUUGAAUUGGCUAAUCAAUCUUUUUUUUUUUUUUUUUUUUAAGUAGCUCUGGCAUUUCUAUAUCAGCCCAUACCCUGUUAUGUUCUCUCUUCAUGGCUGAUUUUAUAUUUCUUUUCAUACGGAUUUUUUAUCGUGUUCAUUUCAGGACCCAAAUAGAUAUUCUUUAGUGUGUACCAGAGUCAUUUUGGUUCUAAAUCAUUCUAUUUCUCUGUAGGUGCCCAUUCUCGGCCACUGAUAACUUUGCCCCAUCUGUUUAAUCCAUUUUCUGGUUUAUUAAGUACUGGGAUUAUUUCUUUGGUGACAAAGCCCUCAAACUAUGCAUCACUGAUUUUCUAUUUUUGAAGCCCUGGAAUUUUCCUUGUUGGGACAUUGAGUGCUUCAUUUCUAAUUAGGCUUUCCUUCUUACUCAUAUUUGGCUUUGCUUUAUCAAUAAAUUACACAACCAAUAAUUGGGAACAGGAUUUCAGAGUGUGCUGCAAACAUGAGUCCCAGUGAUUUGUGGGAAAGAAGGAGCAUUCAGGGAGAAAUGGGAUUGGAUUGCAUUGCAGGCAACAAGGCUAUCACAUUGGAGAAUGUAAUGGGAAGUUGUUAAUUUUUUAAGCAACAGCUGGACUCAGGUUGGUAGUAGUUCUAUUUUGUAGCCAGACGAAAGUUUUUAGUAGAAACUUUCUCAUUUUGUUGGCUAUUUCCUUUAAAAUAACCUUUUGUAUGAAAAAGCAUCUUUAGAAAAAGCCAUUGGACCCGUUCAGUUGUAAAACCAGGGUUAAGCAUAACACUCCAGAAGUAUUUUCCAAGAUCCAGUCCUUUUUUGAGAGAGAGAGGGGGGGGGGGAGGGGCAUAGAGAAUCUCAAUCAGGCUCCACAUGCAUGGAACCCGACAUGGGUCUUGAUCUCGUGACUCUGAGAUAAUGAUCUCAGCCAAAAUCAAGAGUCAGACGCUUAACUGACUGAGCCACCCAGGCGCCCCCAAGAUCCUGUUCUAAUACUUCCACCUCCAUGAAGUUUUUCCUGAUCCCCCAGCUCAGAACCAUGAUUCCAUCCUCUCAGCUCCCAGGCACUCAAAGAUAAUCCCAGUAAGACACUUAGCACAGAGCAUGGUAUAAAGAAAGCAUUCAGCAGGUUUUCAUUAUUACUGUCUCUGCUUCUUUGUAGCAUGUAUCACCUUCUGCUGGAAGGUCCAAAUCAUCAUUUUAUCCUCAAUGUGAUUUGCACUUUCUGGAUACUUGCUAAGCAUGUAUUGAAUGAAUAACAGAUUUUCAGACCUACUCAGGUAUCUUUGUAUGCCCAGGCCUGAUAUUCAGUAAACACAUUUCACUAAGUGUGGUGAUAAUGAAUGUUCAAUGAAUGGUUAUAAACAGAAACUUCCAUUGUAACUUUUGAAAGGCAGCCAAAGUUCAGUCUUUGUGUUCACAGGGUUAACUUUUCUAAUCUCCUUUUAGUGCCAAAGACAUUAAACAACAGCUUUACUUCUGGGCCCAGUCCUAUAAAUAACGUGCUGGUUAUUUAAAUAACUGGCUUCAUCGGCACUUCCCAUGGGUAGAGUACAAUAAUUAUGGCUAAUACUUAUUGGGCAUUUGUUUUGUGCCAAGCUAUAUCCUGAGUACUUUAUAUACAGUCACUCAUUUCCUUCUGCAAAUUGUUCUAAAGGUGAGGCACUGAGGCACAGUGAGGUGAAAUCCCUCGCCCCAGGUCACGCUCUUGCCAAAUACGGAAUUACAGCCAGAGAGCUGGGCUGUAGUUGGAAAGUUAUGGCUUUGAUGGCACAUAUCACCCUGUUUCCUGCAAAAUGCUAAAAUCAGAGCAAAUGCCAGAAUCAAUCCAGCCAAGAUGCUGCUGCACAGAAAUUUAAUGUCUCUUUCAAAUAUAUUUGAACUUUCAGCUAUCUUCUUUCUGGCAGGUGUCCCAAGGAGAGAGGGGAAGGAGGGCCACAGACGCAGUUGCUUUUAGAGUCUCAGACCCCAUAUCUUUGCAGAUAUCUGCUCUACUCCACCAGUAAGCACCAUCCUGCCUUAUCUUCUUCCACAUCCCCUUGUAAUCUCAUCUCUGCCAGCUCUUCCCUGGGCUGUGAAUUUUCUACUUUUCUCCCCUCUUUCAACUGUUUGGGCCCUAGAAAUCAUUUGAGAUGCAACUUGGAUGGCAGUUCUUGCUAGAAGCCCUCCCUAACCAUCCCAGACAGGUGUCAGAGCCACAGCAACUCUCUGAGUACCACCUGUCCUGGCUUCUUGUUCUGUAUUAUAAAAUUGUUUUAAUGUUUAUUUUUGAGACAGAGAGAGAGACAGAGUGCUAAUAGGGGAGGGUCAGAGAGAGAGGGAGACACAGAAGCUGAAGCAGGCUCCAGGUUCCGAGCUGUCAGCACAGAGCCCAACAUGGGGCUCGAACUCCCCAACCGUGAGAUCAUGACCUGAGCCGAAAUCAGACGCUUACUGACUGAGCCACCCAGGUGCCCCUUGUUCUAUGUAAUAAUUGUUAGCUUAAUAGUCUCUGCUACUAGACUGUGAACUCGUCAGGGUGGGGACCUGUCUUGUUCACUGGUAUCCUGAGAACCCAGCACAAUUCUGGGCGCAUAUGUGUUUGUUGAAUGAACAAAUAAAUGAGUAAAUAAAAGUGUUCCUUUGCAUGUCCACUCCACUCUGAAGUAUUCCAUAAAACAACUACAGGGACCAUGCAUUUCCACAUUCAGAUGCCCAAGACUGGCUGGAAGGACACAGCCAAGAAGAACAAGUUAGAAAUGUUAUUUCUCCAUCCCUAUGUAUCAGAGAAAAAAAAUCUCUCACUGCCAUCCAACCUAAGUCCGUAAGAAUAAAUGAUCUUUAAUCGGGGGGCCGGGGGGGAGAUGCCUGAAAAAGUUGUGGCUGGAAAAAAAUGUUUCAAACGGCAUUUUUAUUAGUCUCCACUGUGGGCUUAUUGUGUAAAUUAUGUGUGAGACAAAUGUAUGAUAGACUCAGUGGUAAUUACUUGUUCUCAAAUGUUCAGUUAACCACGCCUCUUAAUCCUACAUACAGUAGCUUAGCACAGAAUUAAAUUCUGCCCUUUAGGCAGGAUUAGCAUUUGGAAUUUCUUGUUUCUGUAGUUUAAAUGUUUUUAUCCCAAUAUUUGUACUUUUCCAUUUAGAAUAAAUGCACUGAGUGUGUGUGGGGAAAUAUAAAUAGCAUGGAAUUUUUAUGAUUCAACUCAUCAUCCUUAUUGGUUUGCAGUUGAUUUUUACGGAUACUAAUUUUUUUAAAUUACUCAUCUGUAAUUAGUUACAGAAACAGAGAAAGAAUUGCUAGACCACUCUCUUUCUAAUGAAUCUAGCAUCAUUUCUUUGCCAAUAAUCAAGAUCUUUAAUUUUAUGAAGGAAAAAAAAAUGUCUUUCAGCCUUUGCUCUCAAAAUGCAGAAACUUUAUGGGACAGUGUUAUAUAACAUAAUUAGGGAGAAAGGUUUUUCCCUGCUGUCAUCUAUAGCAGGAAUGGGAGAAAAAAUGUUGACCUAGUUAACGGGAAUCUCUACCCCAUAUCAGUGGUAGUACUAAUCUAUUUAUUCAACAUCCAUUAAUGUUCACUGUGUGCCUAGAAUGUACUAGAAGUUGCUGUUUACUAACCAUGUAAAAAAAACUAAGACAUGGUCUCUAUCUUCAAGGAGCUUAAUAAACAAUUGCAAUCAAACAGGACAAGUCUUAUGUGGAAGUCUACACAAAGCAUAGCAAGGCUUUAGGAGAAGAGUGUGAACUCGCUGGGGAAGUCAAGACUGUGGAUUCCCAUCUGAGCUGAGACCUUCAGGAACAGGAGUCUGCCAGACAUCAGAGCCAGUGACUGAGCGAUGGGGGAAGGUAUUCUAGACACAGAGCUAAGACAAAUGCCUCACUGGAAUCUUUGGGGCUUUAUUAUCAGUAAUACAUGGCCUAUGACCCACCUCACAACUCACAGAGACAUCAGUGUGAGGCAACCCCACUGUGAGUCCAACUUUAAGCAUAGCAGGAAUCUGUUCAGAUUGUCAGAGCAAGAGAGAGGAGGAGGUCACUGUGGCCACAGUGUAGUGGGGAGACUAUGGGAAAGCUGCCACAGUAUUUGGGCAAACUGGGAUGAAGCCAGAUCUGGAACAACAGUAGAGGGAAUCAGGAUGUGAGCGGUGAUGAGGAGGCAGGGGCAGCAGGACCUGGGGAUUGACCAGAUGGGUCAUGGGGCACCCUCUGUACUGUAAGCUACAAAUCAGGACUGACUCAAAUUUUCUGUUAUGGUCAUAGCCAUCUACAUCCCCUCCAAUAAAAAUCAGGUUGAGCCUUUCAUUCAAAUUAGGCAGAAAGCUGAAUGUAACCCAACAGUAGAAUAUUUUAUGGCAUUAAGCAGAAUAUUUUCAAAAUAGAUUGUCCUUUUGGAGGGGAGGAUAUUUGUCCAUGUUAAUCUAUUAAAUAAUUACGUCUAACCCUAAAGAGAUAACUCCACUUCCACUAACACUUGCAACAGAGAAUGAAGGGAAGCUCACUCCUGGUCUCCAUCAGCAUUCCCUUUUUCUCUUUCAAAGCACUUCAUAAAUACUGGCUUCAUACUUUACAUUUUUACCAAGUCUCCAUUGGAGCCAGCAAAUAUAGGGGAAAAGGUGAUUAUCACAGUCAGUGUAAAUCUGUGAUGUCAAAUCUAUUUUCCUGGUAGCCUAAAUUCUAUUUAAUUGUGUAUUGACAUUUUUCUGUGCAUAUGUUCAUGUAAAUGUCUACAUCUGUUUUCCUAGCUCUUCAGAAUUUGGAGAAGGAACUUCUGCUCCAACCACCUUAUUCUACCACUGUUCCCCACAUUCUGCUGACAAGGCCUCUUCUAUGUGCCUCAUAUAGGCCAUUUUCUUAUUUGAAUUGUUCCUUCUUAGACAUUUAUGAACCUCUCCUCCUUCAGAAUCUGUCUCAAAAUUAAAUUUCUCUCUGAAAUGUAAUCACUUUUCUGAUUACUUCUUUGUUUCUUGACAACAUUUAUGGACUGUAUUAAAUUUGCAUACAUGUUUCUGCUUAAGUCUUCUUAAACAUUUUCAUACAUAUUUUAGGCAUUUUAUUAUUUUUUCUUUUUUAAGUUUAUUUAUUUUGAGGGAGAGAGCGAGCGUGCGCACUAGUGGGAGAGAGGCAGAGAAAGAAGGAGAGAAUCCCUCUGUCAGCACAGAGCCCCAUGUGGGGCCUGAACUCAUGAACUUCAAGAUCAUGACCUGAGCUGAAGUGGGAUGCUUAACCAACUGAGCCACCCAGGCACCCCUGGGCCUUUUCAAACAAUAUUAUCCUUAGCCUAUUAUGAGUGUUCAAUAGAUGCUAACUGAUGGACAGAAAGUAGAAAUACAUUUUCGUCUGUUUACCUAUAAAACCUUAGAUUGUUUUUUCUAGAACACAAAAUACAUGUUCCAUCAGGACAGCAUCCCUAUUUCUGACUUCUCCAUGAAGUUGUUUAAAAAAUUUUUUAAACAUUUUAUAUACACAGAGAAGUAAAGAAUAUAACAAACCAGAACUUUAAAAGGCACAUAUCCUGGAGUACCUGGCUAGCUCAGUCAGUGGAGUGUGCAACUCUUGAUCUUGAGGUCAUGAGUUCGAGCCCCACAUCGGGAAUAGAGAUUACUUAAAAAAAAAAGAGGCAAACAUCCUGUCAUAUAUGUCUCAGACAUUUAUUUAUACUAGAAAGAAAAUAUUACAGAUAUAAUUACUAUCCCUUUACAACCCUUUUUUGGCAUCCAUCCAUUUUCCCCCAUGUAAGUACAAAUAACAAGUAUUUAUCUUUUUUACUUUUUUUCUUCUUUAAAAAAAAUGGUUAUAACUGUACACACUUUUCUAUAGCUGACUUUUCUCAAAUACAUCAUUUGAACAUCUUUCUAUGUCCGUAAUAUGGCUCUAUCUCUUUUUCACUGGCUACAUAGCAGUGGUGGUGAUAGCUAACAUUUCCUGAGUGAUUACAAUGUGCCAAGAGUCUGUCACAUCUUUAGUUUACAAGAACCACAUGUGGAAGAAGCUCCAUUUUGGAGAUGAGGAAUCUGAGGCUUAGAGAGGUGUGACAGGUAAAAUAAUGCCCCCCCCAAAAUGUCUAUAUCUAAAUCCCCGGAAACUGUAAUGUAUUACCUUACAUGGCAAAAUGGACUUUGUAGAUGGGAUUAAGGUUGAGACCUUGAGAUGGGGAGAUUGGUCUGGACUGUCUGGGUGGGCCCAGUUAAAUCACUUGGGUCUCUAAAAGUGGAACCUUUCUUGGUUGAGUUAGAGUGAGAGAUGAUGACAGAAGCAGGGUCAGAUGACACCACAAGAGAUUCCAUGCUCUGUGGCUGUUUUUGAGAUGUAGGGGUCUAUGUGCAAGGACCAGCAAGAAGACUCUAGGAGCCAGGGGCAGGCCUCUGCCAACAGCAAGCAAGGAAACCAAGACCUCAGUCCUACAACCACACGCAUGGGACUGAGCUCUGCCAAUACCUGAAUGAGCAAGGAAAGGGAUUCCCUCUUAGACUCUAUAAGAAGGUCCCAACACUGUCAACACACUGCUUUUAGCCCAGUGAGACCCAUAUAGGAAUUCUAACCUGUCAGACUAUAAUAAGUUUGUGUUGCUUUACACCUCUAAGUCUGUGGCAACUUAUUAUAGCAGCAAUAGAAAAUAAAUAUAAAUGGCCACAACUAAUAAGUUGUAGUAAAAUGGGAACUCAGGUGAUCUGACUCCAGGGUGUGUGUAUAUAUAGCUGAAUCAGUAUUUAUUUAUUUAAUCAGCUCAUGUUAGUGGACAUUUAGAUUGCUUUCAAUUUACGGUAUUUCAGACAAUGGGAUAGUAGAUUUCUUCAUAUCUAAGUAAGCUCUACUCACAACGUGGGGCUUGAACUCACGACCCCAAGAUCAAGAGCUGCAUGCUAUACUGACCUAGCCAGCCAGGCACCUCAAAAGAUUUUUUUUUAAGUAAGCUCUUGGCCCAGUGUUGGGCUUGAACUCAUGACCCUGAGAUCAAGAGUCACGUGCUCUACUGACUGAGCCAGCCAGGCACCCCAAUUUCCUCAUGUCUGUAUUUUCAAACACUUUAAUUAGAAUUCCUAUAGGAAAAUUUCCUACAAGUGAAAUUAUUGGGUCAAAAGAUAGUCAUAUUAAAUAUUUUUCUAAAUACUGCCAAAUUGCCUUACAGAAUGUUCCCAGUGCAGCUCUUAGACAAGAACUGAAAUCAGCAGGAAAAGAGUGAACAAAAAAUAGGAAUGGAUCUGGCUUAUUGUAACCAUUUCAGCAAAGAACUGAUGAAGGGACCACGUAACUGAAGAUGCCUUUCUCCUUCAUUUUAAGCAGAGAACCUAUCUGUUCCAGAAGAGUCCCUCUGGCUCUUUCUUUUUCAUGUGUAUUGUGGAUAAAUUCAUUUUGUGCUUUUAUUUCUGGGUCUUGCUUUGGCCUUUGAGGCAAUAAAGAUUGACAAAAAUAAAUAGCCUUUUUAGUAAGUAUCUCUUGUGCUAGUGAUCUAUUUUAAAAUGCUCUAUUACUUCAGUUGAGGCUAGAGUUUCCCUUGUGCACAAAUAGACACUUGAAAACAGUAAUCGCAUUUCAUCAAUUUUAAAUGAUAGGCUUCCCAGCAGGGUCCUGGAACCCUACUUUUAGAAAAAAUUACUGAUUAAAGAAAAUUAACAUAGCAACCUGUUCAAGUGUGUGGGCUUUGUGAUUAGCUGAUAUGUUAUGGGAGUCACUGCAGCAGGGCCCCGUCAGGAUUUAAUGGUCAGUUCCUCGUGUGAUUCUAUGUGAGAAAAAACCUCUUCACAUUUUUCACAUUAAAGGAUCCUGGACUCUGAAAAAUAAGUCUUUUUUGCUGGAGAUAACUUUUACUUUCUUCAGCAUCUUAAUUCCAUUCUUGUAUCUGGAAAGUGGUCUCUGUCACUCUUGGCUGGUACCAAUGCUUUUGUUGAGUUUAUAGGUGGCAUAACACCCUUUCUUCCCCGCCCCCCUUCUUUUGUCUCAGAACUUUCUUUUCUCUUGGAGAUUUUGGUUUUCUCCUUAGGCUGUGAUUUUUUAUCUUCAAAGUUGUGAAAUAAUUUGACUCAAUUGUUAUGUUUGUUUUUUGCCCUUGUGCUCAGCUGCUAGAUCCUGGGGCAUUGUAAUAAACAUCCUCUUGGCUGUGAAAUGGAAAGAUGUCUAACUAAUGAUGUUCAUUUAUUUACUUAUUUAUUUUUGAUUCAUUUUUGCCUAGGAAACCAGAAAGGAAAAUCUGAAUUCUGAUAAAUGUUAGGGUAUUGUAAUGAACAAUAACACCUCUUAUUUGUUGAACACUUACCAUGUGCCUAACACUACUCAUUUUUUUUGUAAAUGUGUUAAAGUCCUGAGGGCCAUUCUGUGAGGUAGGUGCUAUUAUUAUCCGCAUUCCAUUGUUGAGGAAAUUGAGGCUUUAAGCAGUUAGACAACCCGCUGAAGGCUAUAUAGUAGUAAAUGAUAAAGCUGAGACUCAAACACAGGUUUGUUUGACCAGUCUGGGUUCUUAACCACUAUACCAGAAUGUUCUUUGGCAUUUCAAAUCAUUUGUAAGCAAUGCUUCCAAGAAUGUUUUAAAACCAAAAAACCAUAGCAAAAGAGCUCCUUACUUUGUGGUGAAGUAGAAAGAGUAUUGGGAUAGGAGUCAAAAGGUUGUGUCCUUACUAGCUGAGCAAGUCCACAGGCAGGUCCUCAAGUCUUUCUCUAGCUCCUCCUUUGGCCUUUGUUUUCCCAUCUGUAAAAGCACCAAUCUUCUAGCAUCCUAAAAAAAAAAAAAAAAAAAAAAAAAAAAAAAUCGACUUCCUCUUUAAUUUCCCCUUUUCUAAGAUAGAUGAAACCUGCCGCUCCGUCAUUUGUGACAGUUAAGGCUGGUAUCGGAUGAGUCAUUCGGCACAGGGCUACUUGUCCUGAAAAAGAAGGAAAAAGCAAUGAUUAAAUGCCCUCCCCUCCACCUCAGCAGAGAGCAAAGCUAAGCAUAAUGACUCAAAUUCAAAGCCUAGAAAAUCUUGGCGGAAACAGGGUGGAUAUGUUCUGUCUCCAAUUUUCUCUGUAUAUCCAUCGUUGACCAUAGAAAUGUGGGUGAAUGUGUGGCUCAUCGUGUAAUCAUCAGCUCAAACUUGCUCAAGCUGUUGUCAAGUAAUAAUGCUACCAAGCUGUCUCUGUCCAGUCAGAAAUGAGACCUAGCCAUAGAGAAGACUUCCAAACUUUCUCAAACAUGUAUCAUUAUCACAUAGCUUUUUUCUACCCUAUAUGUUAUGGGCUGAAUUGUGUUCUCUUCAAAUUCAUAUUUUGAUGUCCAAAUCCCAAUUUGUUACUGCCUUUGGGAAACAGGGCCUUUAAAGAGGUAAUUAAGGUAAAAUGAGGUCCUAUGGGCUCUACUGUAGUGUGACCAGUGUCCUUAUAAGAAGAGAUUGGGACACACAAAUACAGAUGAAGGCAUGAAUGACCAUGUAAGGGCACAGGGAAAAAGUGGCCAUCAGCAAGCCAAGGAGAGAGGACUCAGAAGAAAACAAACCUGUUAACACCUUACUCCUUGGACUACUAGCCUCCAGACUGUGAGAUAAUAACAUUCUGUUGCUGAAGCCACCCAAUCUGUGGUAUUUUGUUAUGGCAGCACUAGCAAACUAACACAGGAUAUUUUAAAUCCAGGACUGUUUUUAAGGUUUCUCCUUUACUUCUCAGAAUAUCUUCACCUUUAUGUUUUUCUUUCUUUCCUCCUUUGCUUGAGUUCAGUUUUCUUACCCUAAUAAGUCAUACUUAGGUAUCAAGCUUCAUCCAUGAACUGGGGUACAGACAUUUCACAGAUGUUAACAGUGUUUGAAGAAUACUUAGUGUUAGAUUACUCUUGACUGGUACUCUGAAUAUAGCUUACAUUUCUACACUUAUGUGAAAUCCUUGACGCUGACUCACCUGUGUGUGUCACUUCUUAAGCAGAUUAUUUAAUUUUACAACUAAUAUAAUAAAACACUCAACUAUGUACAAUUGAGUUCUCAUCCCUCACCCAUAGCCCAGGAGUGUUUCCAUUUUUUCUUACUUCCUAUCUCGGUAAGAUGGCAGCAGCAGUGCCAUUCAUCUAGACUCAGAUUCUCAAUCUAAGAAUUUAGGGAGCCCUUGUUCUUUCUUUUCCUUACCUCACACGUGCAACUCCUUAUCCGCUUCUAUUCAUCCAUCCUUUAAAAUAUCUAAUGGGAAAGUAUUUGUCAUAUUAAAUUAUAAUAUUAAAUUUUAAUGAAAAAUAUCAGUAUGGACUCAUGAAUUAAAAAUAUACAUGCAUACAGCACCACUAUCUGUCCAUCCUGGUUUUGUCUACUAGAAGAAUAUAGAAGCAAUGAUACCCCUUGAACAAUAAAUACAUCUAGACUCACAUUUUGGUUUCCAUCGUUAACCUACUAAAAAGAACAAUGAUCUUUGGAGAAAUCGCUGAUUCUAGUUGUUGAGCAGGGAAACUACACGGUGAACUUAGGAUAUCCUGUUAUCCUAGGAACUAAGGAAAUGCUCAGUGAUUUAUGGGGGCAUGUUAAAGGGACACAAGAGCUAGUUUUAAAGGGCUUCCACUAGACACAUUUGGACAAUUUGAAGAUGACUGUAGUUAACUGCAAAACAUUGAAAAUAUAAAAAUCCAUGAGUGUAUAGUGAUACCUAAAAAGUAAUGGAAAGAAGAAGAAAAACAUUUACAUCAUUAGAAGUAACAAAUCCUUACUCUGAAAUUGAUAGUAAAAGGGAAAGAACUAAACAUUUACUUUGUCUUUUUAGGAGAAAUAUGUAUAUCAUCAUCCUAGUUGAUGAGGGAAUCUUACCUUUAGAAAAGAAUGCCGUAGAAGAAGUGAUAUUUGAAAGUCACUAUUUUGCAACCCCCAAUGAAAUAAUAUUUCAGAACAGGAUAUUCACACAAUGACAAAGUAUCAUCACACAGGUGACUUACCAAUUGCAAAGGAGCAAUCUGGUGGGUCACUAAUUUGGCUAUUCCAGUAAUAUGGGGUAACCUUGAACUGUAUUCCUUUUGAUGUGAUCAUUCACAGACUGAUCCAUCUGUGAUACAGAUGAAAUUCUCAAAAUCAUUUAUGAACUAUUCUUGCCAAAAGUGUUAAACUCAAUCUAAUUAAGCCUUUAGACCUAACUUCAAAUAUAUAGGAAUUACAGGAAAUCAAAGAACAAUGAAAUUACAGGAAACCUACAGAGGAAUCUGCAAAGUGAGAUAUUCUAUAAGACAACUUUUUUGGAUUCUUCCAAAAGUCAUUAUCAUCAGGGGAGAGAGAGUAAGAAGACCUAACAACCAAAUACAAUAUAUGAACCUUGAUUGACUCUUGGCUUGGUAAAAACAGCUAAACAUUUUGGGGACAAUUGGAGAAAAUUUCCAUAUGAGUUAUAUAUUAAAUGACACGAUAUCUGAUAUUAAAAAACUAAUAUUAGUUUUCUUAGAUGUGAUAAUGAUAUUGUGGUGAUAUACAAGAAAACUCUUAUUUUUAGGUGAUGCAUAUUUGAGUUAUUUAGGUGUAAAGUGUCAUGAUAUCUAUGACUUUCUUUCAAAAUACAUACACACACACAUACACACACCUACACACACGCACACACACACAUAUAUAUAUACAUAUAUACAUGUAUAUGUGCAUACUGUUAUCAUUUUGCCAUAUUUGCUUUAUUUUUACACACACGUAUACGUGUAUACACAUAUAUGUGUGUAUAUAUGUAUGUGUAUGUGUGUACGUAUAUAUAUGUAUAUAUGUGUGUGUGUGUGUGUGUGUGUAAAAAUAAAGCAAAUAUGGCAAAAUGAUAACAGUUGUUAAGUUGAUGUUGAAUCUGGGUAGCAGUUGGUAUUCAUUGUACUAUUCUUUCAAUUUUUCUAGAUGUUUAAACAUUUUUAUAAACAGUUUGGGAACAUGUUUAAACCUCAGCUCCUUUUAUGCCUCUGCCCCUUGCCUCCGUCUUCCUCACCACUCUUCCUACUUCAAGUCUUCAUCAUGUCUUUCUUGAACUAUUGUGGUGGCCCCCUGAGUAGUGCCAUAAUUCGAUCUAAAUGCCUCCAAGUUAUCUGCCAGAGUCUCCUAAAAAUCAGCUCUCACUAAUUUCCUACCCUGUUUCACUCUCCCCCAUCACCCACAUGGUAAAGUCUGAAAACACUUGGCAAGCAAGAUUCCAGACUUCUCAUACCACAUUCUCAUUCAAGGCAUUUUCCUGCCACCUCGUAGCUUGUGCUCUGUCAGGGGUCACAACCACAAAUGCCCAUAGGGAGGGCUGGGAAUAACACAAUAGAGGGUGUGGGGUUUGGGGUGGGCUAGGGAGAAGAAUCUCCCUCUAAAGGAGGUAGCUAUUAUUCAAGAUCAGUUGAAUGUGGGCCCAGUGUUGCUAAAUCUUUGCGUUUCCAGUAAGUCAAAAAUAAAGGUUUGUGUACAAAUUCUCCCCAUUUUAAACAUGGACAAGUAGUUUUUAAAAAACAUUCUGCAGACUUAAAAAAAAAAAAAAAUUGUGGGCUGCCGGGCAUGACUCCUGCAUGACUGAAUGCUCACUUUUUGGCAUCGACCUCUGUGUUAUUCUUCCUUCUCCUUUGUCUAGAAUACUUUCUCCAUCCUUUGUCAUCGAAAUCCUGUGUAUCUUCCAAAACCCAGCAAGCAAGGCCAUUCACCUUCCCUCACUCCCCCAGGCAGAGCCACUGCUCCUUCUGUAGAGUGACCUUUUGUACAAACCGCCAUUCUAGGACUUGUAAUGGAAUUACAUAUUUGAUUGUCUGUCUUCUUCCACUGGGUUCUGAACCCUCAUGAUUAACAGCCACGUUUUACUUAUUGUCUCCCUAGUGCUGCUCCUGGAGUCCUAUAUAUUUCAGCAUCUGAUGAGCAUCUGUUGGUUUAGUUGCCUCUUAAAAGUAAUGCUGUAGAAGAAUUUAGGACAUAGCUUCUACGGCAUCCAGUUGGAAAUGUACUUAAGAAUGUCUAUGAAUCAAUAAAAGAAAAAUUAUUGUUAUAUCCCAAGUAAGGCUGUCUUCUGAGAUCAUUUGUCUAUUACAGGAAAUCAGGUAAACACAUUUAGUUUUUUUAAAAAAAAUUCUGAAAACAGGAUUCUUUCUGACUUUUUAACCCAAGAGAAUGAUAAUAGGGUUUUGUUUUAAGGAUUGCCUUUCAAAGGCAAUCUUGGCUAAGAUCAGGCCAAUGAGUCUAGGCAGCUUUGGCAACCUAUAAAUGCUCCAAACCUGCUCAAAUUCUUAUAAGAACUGAGUGGUGAGGUGUGUGCUGAAUCAAGUCACCGCCUCUUCUUGGGACAUCAAUUUUUAUCAGUGCCCUACAUACCCAGUUCUCUCCUUCUUGUCUCUUUCAUGGCUUUCUUUCCUGCAAUGCUUGCUUACUUUUAUUCAGCAUUCCUUUCAAAAUCCAGCUGAAAACUUACUUCUUCUAAGGAGUCUCUGAUAAGUGUCCCCAGCCUUAAUUGUUCCAUUAUGUUAUAUUCUCCAUUUAUUCUUUAUGUUGGGUAUGUCAUAUUCCACUGUAGACUAUAUAAUUAGAAUAAUUAUGUUAAGAAUAAUAUAGUAAGAGUCAUUUGAAGACCAUUGCUAAAAUAAUAGCUUCCUAGACUCUUCCCUGGAGAUUCUGAUUUGGGGGACCAGGCAUGGAGAUAAGUACAGGUAAUUUGUAUUUUUAACAAUGGCCACAGCUAAUUCUUAACAUCAGGCAACUUUGGGAAGCAUUAGCCUCAUCUUUAUAAGGUUGGAUUUGGAGUCAGACUGUUCAGGAUUUCAGGCUGGGCUUUUAGCCUUGUAGCUCUGUGCAACAUUAGACAAGUUACCGUGUCCAACAGCCAUGUAUUUUUAAUCCAAAAAAUGGGAAUGAUAAUCAUUAUUAUAGUCCUGUUCUGGAAGAAUCAAAUGAUUUAUGUAGAACAUUAGCACAGUGCCUGGAACAUUCUAAGAGCUCAGUAAAUAUUGACAAUUAUGGUUAUAUUUGCUUUUAAUUUGCCUGGUUAUGUAAAUAGGAGUCAAGGUUUGGAUGAUGGUUUCUUUGGUUCUUCUGUAACACUGUGGUGAUUUAGGGUAGGGUGACCCAGAAGAUUUUAUACUAGCCAAAGACUGUUGCCAAGAGCCUGCCAAUUUUUAUUGCCCCAGCAAGGUAUCACCCUUUGUUCUCUAAUUUUACCUGUCAUCUCCAUUAAAUUAUAGAAAGGUCUUUGAGGCCAUUGACCUUGUCAUCUACUUUUAUCACAUAGUAGAUCCAGAUCCUGCACAAUGGGCUAUCAACAGAGAGAAUUAUCUAAUAGAACACACACUUAUUUCCUGGAAUUAUAGAACCAUCAUUUCUCAUGUUACAACAGCUCCUAGUAUGUCUUGGGGUCUUCUACUCCUGCUCCUUUAUGAUUAGUCCCUACACAGCAGCCAAAGUGAUCACUUAAUAGUGUGAUCACAGAAUGUCAUUCCCUUUUGAAAUUUCCCAGUACUUCCCACUGUAUUUAGAAUAAAAUCCAAACUCCUUACUGUAGCUUUGAAAACACUACCCGACCUGGGCUGGGUUUUCUGUCUGACCUUAUUUCCUGUCAUUCAUUACCUGGGUUAUUACGUCCCUAUAAAUUUGCUGUCCCCCUGCCUGGACUGUCUUUUUCCCUAGAUCUCCAUGUCAUUCAGCUGAGAUGUCACUUUCUCAGAGACCUUCCUGUACCUCCCUAUCCAAUAUUUUUCCUCUCAUUAGUUUCUGUCCCAUUAUCCUGCUUUAUUUUCUUCAGAUCACUCACUACUAUCUGAUAUUGUACUUACUAGUAACUGUUAUUAUUUGUUUAUUGUAGCCUCUGUGAGAUCAGGCAUCUUGUCUAUCUUACAUUUUUAGCACUGGGGACAGAACCUGGUACAUUUCAUGUUCUCAGUAUAUAUUUGGCAAAUCAAUUAGUGAGACCUAAAGAACAUCUAUAGAGUUCGGUAGACUUCAACUUUUUAAAGCAGAGGACUCGUACCAAAGCAUAAUAUUUGGUUUUAAAUUAUUAAUCUGUGUGUUUAUUUAGUUCUUUCCUGACAAGCAAUAGGAUUCUAUACACACAGCAAGUCCUAGCAAAUACUUAGCAGUUUAAUGAAUCUUUGUUCAACAAGAGCUACCACCAGGGGGAAAUCAAUCCUCUGACCAGUAGCUGUAGAUGGUGAGAAAAUCUGGCUGGAGGAGAAACAGGCCCAACCUCAGGGGACAAGGGCAGGCAGGAGGCCCUGAGUGUUCUGGCAGCCCAGCUCCUCCAGGGCUUCCCCUCAGCUCUGCAGAGAGAAGCAGUAGGAAGCAGGAGAGGUAGGGCCAUCAUUUGGAGCAUCCAGAGGAGAAGCAACAAGAGAGGGCUCUUUAAUGCCGGCCUGGACUGCGGAGAAAAGCGGGAGCAGCCCUGGGCCAGGGGCAACAGCACUGAAGAAAAUAUGGCAGCAGUGGUGGUACCAAAAGGACAAUAUCUCAGAGAGGUACUGACCUGUGAGGCUGCCUCCCACCAGGAUUAAGCCAUAAAGGAUUGGGAAGGAGGCAAUGAAUGCAAGUGGCAGUGAGGAGGGCACUUGACCCCUCACCCUUUCCCAGGUGACAGGAAAGGGUUCGGGUGCUUGGCAUUCCAAUAGUUAAGUAUGUGUGAUCUCUGACAGAACUAUUGGUUUUGUUGUUAUUUGGGUUUUAUUUAUCUUUCAGUAUCAUCUUCAGGGAUUAAACAUAUGCAGAGAUGACAGAAAUGUUAGGGUUAACAAGCAAGGACUUUAAAAUAGUUUUUAUAAAUAUGUUUAAGGAUUUAAAAGAAAAUAAAGACUCAACUGAAUAGAGGAAAAGUCUCACUAGAGAAAUGGAAACUAUAAAAGAAAACUAACUAGAAAUUCUAGAACUGAAAGUUAUCUGAAAUGAAAAAAUAUCACUAGAUGAGCUUAACAGUAAAUUGCAUUCUAGAGACAGAAAAAAAUUGUGAACUUAAAGACAGCAAUAUAAACUAUCCAAACUGAAGCACAUAUAGAGAAAAAAGACUAGAAAUAAAUGAGCAGAGUCUCAUUGACUUGUAGGGUAAUAUGAGGUGGCCGAACAUCUGUGAAACUGGAGUCUCAGAAAGAGAGGAGAGGGUGACUGGAAUAAAACAUAGAUAGAUAGAUAGAUAAAUAGAUAGAUAGAUAGAUAGAUAGAUAGAUAGAUAGAUAGAUAGAUAGAUAUAGAUAUAGAUAUAGAUAUAGAUAGAUAUAGAUACAUAUAUCUAUAUAGAUAUAUAUAUCAAGAAAAAGCUGGAAAAAAUCCAAAUUUGAUGAAAAAUAUUAACCCGUGAGUUUUAUAAGCUCAAUGAGCUAUAAGGAGGAUAGAAAUAAAGAAAACCCCUUCUAGGUACAUCAUAGUCAAAUAUCUAAAACCAAGCACCAAAGAGAAACAUCUUAACAGCAGCCAGAGCGGGGGAAAAACUCCUUCUGCACAAGAAGGGGAACAAUAUCUGACUUUUCCACAAGUCAGAAGACAAUGCAAUAACAUCUUUAAAGUGCUGAAAGGAAUAAAACCUGUUAACCUGGAAUUAGAAACCUAGUGAAAAGAUCCUUGAAAAAUGAAGGGAAUAAUAACAGUGAGAGCAAGAGCAAGAAAGAAAACAAAAGGAAGUAAAGGGAAAGAAGGAGGGAGGAAGAAAGAAUGAAUGAAAAAGAAAAACAUUGCCAAAUAAAAGCUGAGGGAAUUUGUCAACAGUAGACAUGUACUUUAAGAAAUGUUAAUGUCUUCAGGGUGAAGGAAGUGAUACCAGAUGGAAACUCAGAUCAACAUGGAAAAUGAAGAGUGUUGGAAAUAGUAAAUAUGUGGAUCAAUAGAAAUUUCUUUUUUCCUUGCCUAUUAUUGGAAUGAGUGUCACUCUUAAUUAUACAGCUAAGUUCUUAGUGGACAUGGCAGUUGUCUGGGAAUCAGGAAAUCUAGGGCCUGGUUCAUUUCUAUGACCUUAAGUAAGUUGCUUAAUCUCUUACCUUGCUUGGAUCAUGAAUCAAGUAGAAUUCUAAUACUUGAUAUUUUUCUCUUUUUGGUAAGCAUGCAAUAAAUAAUUCCUUUUAUCGCUGCGAAACACCUCCAAAGGGCUAUCUACCCAUUGCUUCUCAAAUUUAGUGUGCAUAUGAAUUACCUGGGAAUCUUAUUAAAUUCAACUACAAUUGAUAAACUCAUUGUGGUAUUGGUAAAAGGACAAAUAGGUCAAUGCUAGAGAAUAGAAAUAUAUUCUUUUUUCCCCUUUUACUUCUAACCUGUUAUUCUUUAUACUUAUACCUUAUAUUUAAAGCUUUUCUUUUACAAACUGUACAUCUCUAUAUAAACAGAGAUGUUUAUAUACAUCUGUCUUAUAAACUCAUUUUUGUCUUUUUAUUCACUUUUAUAAUCUCUGCCUUUUUUUUUAAAUUUUUUAACGUUUUUGUUUUUAUUUAUUUUUGAGACAGAGAGAGACAGAGCAUGAACGGGGGAGGGGCAGAGAGAGAGGGAGACACAGAAUGGGAAGCAGGCUCCAGGCUCUGAGCCAUCAGCCCAGAGCCCGACGCGGGGCUCGAACUCACGGACCGCGAGAUGGUGACCUGAGCCGAAGUCGGACACCCAACCGACUGAGCCACCCAGGCGCCCCUAUAAUCCCUGCCUUUUAAUUGGAGUGGUUAGUCUAAUUAUAUUUAAUAUCAUUGUGGAUGUUGAGCUUGUAUCUGCCAUCUUGCUAUUUGCCCCCUUCCAUCUGUUUGUUUUGUCCCAUCUGUUUUUACAUUCCUUUGUUUCCUCCUUCCUCCUUUUGGAUUUGCUGAGAAUUUUUAAGUAUUCUACUUUAUCUCCUCUAUUGGCCUAAAAGCUGUACAUCUUUGUUUUAUUUUUUGGUGGCUGAUCCUUAACAGAGUCUACUAUGAUUUCACAUUAUAUCACUACACAUGUAGUAUAACAAACUCAUGAAAGAAUACUUCUUGUUCCCCAGCUUGUCCUUUGCACUAUUGUUGCAUGUCAUACUCCUUCAUAUGUGAAAGCCCCACAGUUGUUACUGUUUUCGAUUUACAUAGUCAAUCAUCUUUUAAAGAAAUUAAAUAAUGUCAAUAUUAGAGCAGUCCUGGGAAACCUUCUAAGUUUACUCUCUGCUUGCUGUAUUUUCCAAAUGUGGUAUGUAAAGUCCUCUACAGCCCCUACCCGCUGGGUUCAGGUGAAGCAGCCCUUCAGUGAAGUCACCUCUGCUGACUUCUGAGGUUCUGUUCCUCAGAAUCUCUUCAAAAUUCACAGUAGGAAAAGAGGACAGCAGGGUGCUUAAGAGGAGGGUGAAUACUGACCAGGAGAUGGAGAGGAUAAAACCCCAUUAAGUCUGUAUCUUAAAAUCUCAUUAAUCUUCACUUUUUAUGAAGUAUAAUUUGAAGAGAUAUAUUUCUUUUCAGAAAGCAAGUUGUGAGACACUUGGGGGUUAGUUAGUUCACCCGGGGGGGGGGGGAUGCUGAAAAUCAUACUUGAAUUGUCAGUAAUUCCAGAAAGCAAAAUUCAGGUACUAAAGAGGGAGUGGGUAAUUGAAGUCCCUGGGCAAAGAAAGAUCUUUGCUUCUUCCCAAGGUCAUCUGGUAUGGGAGUAAGAGGGUUUGAAGAAAAUGUGUCAUUGAUGAUUUAAUAAUAUUUGACGUGAGAGAUUACAUUUCUCUAAUUUCAUUUUUUUUACAUAGAGAACCCAGACUGCCUUAAACCUGCUAGUGAUAUAUGUGGGUUAAAAUUGCAUUGAACAACAUUGCAUACACUUUCUAAUCACCUCAACGUUUUUGAGUACUGUGUAUCUCCAUUAAAAUAUAUAUUUACAUUAUGCUUUAGAUUUGUAUCUCCUUUUGACACUCUCAUGUUUUGUAAGAAUAGAAAUCUUGUCUAAGGCUUCUCUUUAAUGGGAAUAGAAACCUUGCUAACAUCUGAAUCACGCUGAGCAUAAAAAAGAAAAGUGGGGCCAUCUCCACACUCAGUCCCCUUUCCUGGCAUAGAAUGACAGAGUAUUGAUGUAAAAAGGACUGCUUUUUUUUUUAAUAUUCAAAGUGUUACUAAGUGCCGUGGUCCUUCAUCUUUGGAAAUAUUGUGGCUUUCAGGGUCACUGGCUGUGUGUCAUAUUCCAGCAGAGAGCACAAUGCAUCAGCUGUGGAUUUUCUUUGUAUUCUCAGUGUUGUUCGUGGCUGUUUCUUUACAUAAUGGGCUGUAUGACACCCUUCAUUUUAAAAAAGCCCUUAUGGGGCGCCUGGGUGGCGCAGUCGGUUAAGCGUCCGACUUCAGCCAGGUCACGAUCUCGCGGUCCAGGAGUUCGAGCCCCGCGUCAGGCUCUGGGCUGAUGGCCCAGAGCCUGGAGCCUGUUUCCGAUUCUGUGUCUCCCUCUCUCUCUGCCCCUCCCCCGUUCAUGCUCUGUCUCUCUCUGUCCCAAAAAUAAAUAAACGUUGAAAAAAAAAUUAAAAAAAAAAAAAAAAGCCCUUAUGUUUAUGAUUACUGUGUCAAGUUAUUGGGUCUGUGGCUGGCCUUGCACAGUCACCGGCUUGAGCUCACAGGAAAGUGGGCAUAGUUGUCAGUGCCAUGAUGCUGUUCUGUUAGGUUAAAUAAAAUGUAGAAACUGGUGGUAUCCAAAAAACUUCUGGUAAAAGCAUUAUCUUGGCAGCAGGGAGCUCCUGGGUGGCUCAGUCAGUUGAGCAUCCAGCUCUUGAUUUCGGCUCAGGUCACGAUCUCCUGGUUUGUGGGGUCGAACCCUGCAUCGGGCUGACAGCAUGGAGCUGCCUUGGGAUUCUCUCUCUCCUUCUUUCUCUGCCCCUCCCCCCUCUCAAAAUACACAAACAUUAAAACAAAUUUUCUUAUUUGAAUUAAUGAAGAAGGAAAUAUAUGCUGUGAAUAAUGACUGUUAAGUAGCCUUGGUUUUUCUGUAAGGAAUGUCCUCAAUGUUAGCACCUGCAGUAGGAUAGCAUGUGUCAUAUUGGUUUUAUGAUAUUAGUAUCUGUACAGAAUGAUGGCAGGAAGACAAAGUGGGUUUUAUUCCUUACCGGUUAUUAUUGGCUGAUGUUACUCCUGUGAAGGCUUAUGGUAUUAGGUGAAACCAUGUGAAAUCAUUGUUUAUGUAGGCAAUUUUAUAUGGCUCUAGGAAAUAAGAAGUAUUUUAAUUAGUUUUGUCCAUAUUGUGAGUCUGCCACAAAUAUUUUAAACGAAUACAUAUAUUUAAACUUGAAGGCAAGAUUUCUUUGUUCUCACUCUUGCUGUGUUUUUACUCUUUGUCAGUGCCUUCUUGCUCUCCAGGAAAUGGAGACUCUGUAUACAGAAAAUCUGACAUUUGCCAUUCUGUAGCCCUCUUGAGAGGUAAACAAGUAAAAAUACGAAUAUUACUCAGUUGUGGGUUAAAGCCAUCUUCAGAUCCUUCUAACAAUAAUUUAAACUUCUGGCAGUUCCUUUAUGAAUUCAUUUUUCUGUAGAAAAGACAAUUUCGUCACAGGAAUAUAUUACAAGUAUUAAGAUAUCUUUCCCUUCCCCCCUGCUCCCAUAUUUCUCCAUUUUCAGUUUCACCUAUACAAAACAGGAGCUCUGGUAGCCUCUGCUGAGACUUUUCGGUAGGAAAUGCUUUGAAAAAGAAAAGAAAAGAAAAGAGAGAAGCAGCUAUUUUGAAGACUGACUUUCUAAAAUUAUAUUUAGGUAAGCUAAAUUUUCGAUGUCAUCCCUUAUAGCUGAAAGUACACACAUUUGAUUUAAUCAUGUUAAUCAAAAUGUAUUUGCAUUCAAGUGCUCUUAUAUAUCAGUGUUUCUGGAUGGAUUUAAAUUAUAUUGACAGAAAACAUCCAUUUCCUCACGUUUUCAAAUACCAAGCAGGUUUCAGAACCUUGGUCUACAGCAUGGUUGUUUGGGGGGAAAAAAAUGUAAUUCGGCCAAAGCUGAUCUUGUUUUUCCUUUAUUCUUUAAGCCAGAAGCAAUUACUUUUCAUUUCAGGAUUAAGCGGCUGUAACAUUGCCAUUCGUCGCCGAGGCUCCUGGUUUCAGCACGUCUCCUUGGUUCCCAGCCAGUCCUGGGUGUUCAGGUAGCAGCUGUGGCUGGGAGUGCCUCUCCAGCCCGCAUUCCUUGGCUAUGAAUUCUGCAGCCCUGUUUAUCUGAUGAAGACCUCCCCAUAGCGAGUUGCUCAUGACACUGUCACACAGACCUUAAUGGAUGAUAUGGAAAGAUACUGAAUUUUUUUCCUCCAGGAAUGCCAGCCAGUCCUGAAUGCCAACCAGUCCCUUCACUUUGGCUGAUCACUGCAGAGGCCUGGUGCUGAGGUCUGAUGAGACCUGUUCCACAUAAACUAAAUUCUAACAGGAUGCCUGCAAGUCCUCUCUCUGAGGCUGUCACGCAAGCCUGUUCAGAGAAUUUUCGGCAAUUACACUUGCUCAGACAUUGAUUCUCACUUCUCUGCACUAAUUAUUUACUUCAAUUUCUACUUUCAAUCUAUAAAUGUUAGCACUGUCAGCACUCACAGACCUGUCUUCUUUCUCUUGAAACCAUGACUUUACUUGGGAUAGCUUGGGAUGCUUUAGAGCAUGGCUUUCUCACUAUGUCAUGUGUCUUCAUUUUGCUUUCCCAAACCAGACUGUAAACUCCCUGAGAGAGGAGACUCUGAAAAGUGGUAAUAUCUUAUAUAGACAGAUACACAACAAAUAACAAGAACAACAUUUGGACAAAAAGACUGUUGUUGCUCUUAGUAGUGGAGAAAAUUUGCCUUAACAUGUUCAGAAGACUCUCGAUCGGCUGCUACAACAUACGUCUCUUCUCCUUUCCCCUGCCUGCCCUCUGCUGGAACUGCUAAUGAGCAAUAAGAGGGCCAAAGCAGGACGUGGUGUGGGAAACAGGGGAAAAUAGGGGCUUGUCUGACUGAAAAGCAAGUUGAAUAACUGUGAUUUGUCAAUUCACAACCUAGAUCUUUGAAGCUCCUCCUUACUUGCUUUUGGGCAGCUAGCAGUCUCAUUACAAGACCCUUUAUUGGUUCAGCUGUGCGUGGGAAUGUGAUUCUACCUAAUGGCAUGAGAUGGACCAAAUGACCUUGUAUGUCUUCCACUCUUCUUUGCUUGUUUCACCUCUCUGUCUUGCAGUCAUCCAAUAGAUGGCAGAUAGCUGAGCCAGAUAGUGCCCCGUCCCAAACAUAAAUGCCCUCCUGUUUGCCAAACCCUCAAAACCUUCACCACCUUCACAUAUAACAGGCUUUUACGAGGAUCUGGCAAGACUGCCGCUUCGGUAAUGCAAUGCCGAAGGUAAGCUUGAAACUCUAGACUGGUUUCCUGUUUCGAAGGGCAGCAGGAUGUGACAGCUGCGGAGGCAGCCCAUUUGCCCUUGGAGAGAAGCAGGAGUGUCUGAUCACUAGAUGACCUCUCCCUCCUGCUGGCUCAGGGAUGGUGUGAGCAGUCCCACUCUCCCUCCUGCCCUUGGUCAGAUGGCGAGAUGUUAUGAAAAAAGGGAGGAAAACAUGUUUUUUUGCUUUUGUUUUAUUAUUAAAAGAGGCACUCUCUGAAGAGGCAGAAUCCAUUAGCUGAAUCCAUUUCAGUGUCUAUGGUUAAUUAAUUUAGGCAGCUUUAAUCCACUUUUAUUAUGUAGCCUUUAAGAGCAAUUCUGGUAAAUGUCCAUCCCAUAAAUACUAGCACUACUUUAUAUGUAUGAUACCCUUUUUUGGAAGGGUGAAUCUGAAUUAUUAUCCAGAUAUUAAUUUGCACACAACUCUGUCUAGACAAUGCAAAAAUGCUUCCUCAUAGUUUGAACAUUGUUCAAUACAUUUUGAAGUGGGGAAAACGGCUCAGAUAUGAGACUUCACAUUUUAAGUCAGUGAAUAAGUCAGUCUGUUUGCUUCCCGAAACAUAACUCUGAAAAUCAGUCUUAUCAUACUAUGAACUGAAUAAUUGAUUUCCGCAUUUCAUUCUGUAAAUUAAACACUAGACUUUGAAUUACUAGAAGAAAUAGCACAGUUAGCCAAUAAGGCUUUCUUAUAAAAUGACAGCAUUUUAAUUUAGUGUAUGCAUUAGCAUUUAUUCAUGGCUAAGAUUUCAUCAAUCAAUUUUCCAUUUAAAAAAGAUGUCUUUGAAAACAACAGUAGAGAAAUGCUGAGUUCCAAAAGCAAUGUUGUGAAAGGCAGCAGCUCUAGCAUUUUGGGCACGUGUUUAACUUAAUUAUAGUCAAUAAUUAUGUAGCUCCAAGCAUAAACCCACAUUUUUAAAAUUUAUUUAUUUAGAGGGGGGGCGGUGGUGGAUAGAGAGAAUCCCAAGGAGGCUCUGCUCUCUCAGCACAGAGCCCAACGCAGGGCUCCCUCUCAUGAACCGUGAGAUCAUGUCCUGAGCUGAAAUCAAGAGUCAGACACUCAACCAACUGAGCCACCCAGGUGCCCCUAAACCCCCAUUUUUUAAGCAUCUACCUUAUGAACUGACUUUCUUGGAAUGUCAGAGUUUAUAAAAGAAAAUAGUUAAAGUUUAAUGAGAGGUGUGUUUUAAAUAAAAUAUUUUAAAAUAUUUAUUUUGCUACUUUCUAUGCUACUUUUGGUUUUUAAAUUUGUUUACACUAGUAUGUCAAUAGUUGGCUUCAGAUUAAAUGAAUAUUAGUACUUUUUGAUAAUUAAAUGAAUAUUAGUACUUUUUGAUAAUUAAAUGAAUAUUAGUACUUUUUGAUAAUUUUAUUAUUUGCUUUUUGAAAAUAUUUUAAACUGAAAGUGACUCCAAAAUAGAAGCUUUAAGAAUUCCUACCACCAAUUAAAUACUAAUUUUAAAUCAUUUAUUCAUUUCAUUCAUUCAACCAAAUUGUAUUUAACACAUAACAGGACUGACUUAUCCAUAUGCAAGAUAGGCAUAGCACCUAGAGCCCACAGGACUUUUAGGAGCCCAUGCAAAUGUUUUAACUUCCUUUAAAAAUCAGAAGGAAAAAAAAAAAAGAAACUUUAGGUCAAAGAAAAUGUUUAAAUAUAUAGAACUAAUCUAUUCAUCUUUUUUUACCAAUAUGGUCAUAAAAUACAAUUUUCAAUAUUUUUUAUGGUGGAAGAAGUUCAUGCAGGCUAACAUUCCCAGGACCCACAGAAGUACUAUUGCAACCUGUGCCAAAUUCUACCUAUACUAGAUUCUAGAGAUAAAAAGAUGAGUAAGACACAAUUUCUAUGCCCAAAGCGGCAUAGUCUAAUGAAGAAAAUGGGCAUAUAGCAGACAGUUCAUAAAAUGGUUUCCUUGAAUUUGUUUGAAAUAGUUGUUACAGCUUGAGGAACACAGGCAUUUUUCUACAAAAUGUCAUUUAACAUGUAGCCCUGGUCUUAACCUUCUUUCAGUUAACUUAUACAAAAAUAGGAUUUGCAUACUUCAAUGAUACAUAGACACCAUGACUAUAUGUUUGUUUCUUUUAAUCUUUAUUUAUUUUUGAGAGAGAGACAGAGUGUGAGCAGGGGAGGAACAGAGAGGGAGACACAGAAUCUGAAGCAGGCUCCAGUCCCCAAGCUGUCAGCACAGAGCCCCACACGGGGCUUGAACUCAGGAACCAUGAGAUCAUGACCUGAGCCAGUCAGACGCUCAGCCGACUGAGCCACCCAGGCGCCUUAUGUUUGUUUCUUUUAAACACUAGUGAUAUUACCAUCUGGAUCUGUAAGCAAAAAUAUUCAUAUUUUACUAGCAACUUCAUUAACAGGGCCACGAAGGAAAUGCCAGGUCCUCCAUAUUGAUGGUUCAGUGAGGAAAUUAGAAAUGUCUCCCUAGCAUAGCAAAGCUAACUUAGCUUAUAUCUUUUAGAGUUUUAUUGAGGCUUCAAAAAUGGAGCCGAAUCUUGGCUAUACUUUCUGUCUUCAUAAAAUGUCUCAUUUAUAUAAGAUUCAGCUUUUAUUUUUUCAAUUACUACUUCUAAUGCCAUAAUUGGAGUAGUCAGAAUGUUCUAAACCUAAAUCUUCCUUGCUAAUAUUUGGGCCCACUUCCACAUUUUUUUUUGUUGCCAAUUGGAGAACGAUUUUUGAUCACUUUUUAUUUUUAGGGCAAUUUUACCUGCAUUAUCUUAUUAUACACAUGCAAAUGCUUUUUGAAUAAGUAGGGCAUCAUAGGACAUUGGAAAGAGCACAGACUCUGACAGACCUGGCUAUGGAUCAGAAUUCUGUCACUCAAGCUAUAUGACUUUGGUCAAUUCAUUUCACCUCAUUGAAUCUCAGCUUCCCCGUCUGUAAAAUGGGGAUUGUUAUGCAUGUGUUACAAAGUUGCAUUAGGAACUAGACUAAUGUAUGUUAAGCAUUAGGCCAGUACUUGGAAUAUAGUGGAUGCUAGAUAAGUAGCUGCUAUUAUUAUUUUCCAUGUUUUACAGAUUAGGAAGCUGAAACACAGACAUAUUAAAUGGCCUUGGCCAGCUUUGGGGGGAUAAGGUUCCCAGUUAUUAUCGGAAAAUUGCAGCCUGACUUUUGAUCAAGCCUCACUGAGAAUGAGGUUGUAGGACACACAGAAAAGUUCAGAAGCAAAAAGUAUAGAAAAAUCAGUAACACCAAAGCAAGCAAAUAAUCAACAUGUAUUUAUUGAGCACCUUGUAAGCAUAUGGUAUUCUGUGCACAAGUUGGGGUACUUUGGAUUGCAAAUGGCCAAAUCCCAACUUGCACACACAAAAAGGAAAACUUAUUGGCUGGUGUAACCCAAACACAGGUUGUAGGGAACUGAUCAUAGAGAUGUCUGAAUUCAAUGUCAGGAACACUUUUAGGGCUUACACUCUCUAUUUCUGACAAGAGUUUCUAUUUCUAUUUCUGACAAGGUUAUCUUUGCAGAUAGCUGUCUCUAUGCCAUGGGGAACAUGGCUUCCAAUAACUUUGGUCUCUCAUCUUUUCCUAGAAGCUCUUCUACCAGCAAAGAAAGAGGAUUUCUUCCCAUUUGGCUCCAGCCUGGAAACAAUCCCAAGAAUGACUUGUAUUGGAUCAAUGGAGGUUGCAUACUCCCUCCCAAACUGCACACCAAGCCAGGAAGAUGGGGUAAUAUGAUUGGUCCAAUCAAGAGUUCAUGUCGACCCUUAUCAUUAAGGUGUUGGUUUUAUUUUUUUAUCUUCAUGGAAGGAAGUUUAUUGGAGCAAGCAAAGAUAGUAACCUUUAUCUUAUAUGAGAUGUAAUAAAGAAAUUAAUAUUUUAAUGGUAGAGUUGGUUUAAAGAGCCAAAAGACUAGAAUCUCAGGAUGUCUAGCUAAGAUACUACAGGGCCCAGGUGGACAUGUCAUGUGGAUUUUUCAGCCAAAAAGGGAAACUUACCAUAUUUUUGCCUCCCAAUGUAUUAGCUCAUAGAGUACAGACUUAAAUUUAUUUCUUAACAUGCAUGUCUUUUAAUGGAGAAAGUUACAGACACUUGGGUACUAUCUUAGAAAAAGCAGAACUCUUAGGGGCACGUGGGUGGCUCAGUCAUUUAAGUGACUGACUCCUAAUUGAUUCUGGCUCCUAUUGAUUUUGGCUUAGGUCAUGAUCUCACAGUUGUGAGACUGAGCCCUGAUUUGGGCUCUGCAAUGAGCAUGGAGCCUGCUUGGGAUAUUCUCUCUCUCUCUCUCUCUCUCUCUCCUCUCUCUCUCUCUCUCCCUCUCCCCCUCUCCCCCUCUCCCUCCCUCCCUCCCUCCCUCCCCCUCUCUCAAAUAAAUAAAUAAACUAGAAAGAAAAGAAAAGAAAAAGCACAACUCUCUGAGAGGGUGGCUGGAGGCUGGACCACAGACUGACUUCCUGUCCUUUGAAAAAGUCCUGGGGGAAAUGCAUUAUUCUAACAGCUUGCUUAAUGCGUUUGCUUCCUGUGGAGAGGGGUUGGGGGUAGGAACUCAAAGCAGACUUAUAAAUUGAGUUCUAUAGUGCAGGGACUUCUCCAAAACUCUCGGCUGGGUUUAUUUAAGACACUGAACUGUUUGCUGUUGGCUCCAGUAUUUCAGUGUCCACUCACUAUUUCGUUCAUAGGAGAACAUGGUAUUAUAUUAGAGAUAUGGGGAGAUCAUGACUGGGGGAGGAGACUGUUUUGACUUUUUAUGCCAAAAUCAACAUUCCCCGCUCAUGUCACAGGAGCCCCAGAGCCUCCUGUCAUCUGGGCUCUCCAUUCAAGGUUACCUUGAUUACUUUCAAGGCUUUAGUCAUGAAUCUUUCUUAACUGUUUUUACCUCAAAAUAGUGUCUUUAACAACUCACUGUUGCUUUUUUCUGUGUCAAAAUUAGAAGUAUCCCAACUGUUUUCCAGCACCAAAUUCUUUCCUCUUUCACCUCUCUGGGAAACUAACUCCAUCCAUUAUGCCAACUUCUGUUUACAUCUUCGAUUACCCCUUUGCUGCACCUUUCUCCACACAUCUACCUACAGGACUGUCCCCUUGAGAUAUCAUCAAAAGAGAUAAUGAAUGUGGGUGUACUCUAUGACUGUAAAGUGUAAUAUAAAUAUGGAAUAACAUCAUUAUCUUAUCUUUCUUAACAGUCAUCUCAAAAAAUUAUCAAUGUAAUGUAUUUCUUGACUUUACUUUCUCACUAUCAACUCAUUACUUAAUGUCUUAAAAGCUGAUGUGUCGUAAUGUGUUGAGGAUGGGAGGGCGGGGGCAGGUGUCCAUAUCUUUGAGUCUUCUUCCAGUAUGUGGCACAUUUGACUCUGCCCUCCUCUUUCAGUGUCUGUAACUCACUGCUUUGGUUCACCUCUCUGAGUACUCUUCUCUCUCCUUUAAUGCCCAUCUUUUUCCUUCUGCCUCUGAAUGGGAGUUGUCUCUAUCAUUCUGUUCUUGCUCCUACUUACCCUGCCCCCUCUCUUUUGUUCUCAUAAGUACUUGUUAAAACAAAUCUCAUCUCUGUCUCUUCCCUUCAACCUGUUAAAUGCCCACUGUAAUUUUAACCUACAUAUCUCACUAGCCCCAAACAUGAGGUAUAUAAAAUAAACUCUUACCCCAUCCUAAAUAUCUUCCACCCCAUCUCAGCCAACAGUGUUACUUUUUAGUCACGUAGGCUUGAAACCUUGGUUCCUGUUUUGAUUCCUUGCUCUCUUAUCCCUGAAUCCAAUUUAAGCUAUAUUUUAAGAAUAUAUUAUUCUGUUCACCUGUCUUCACUCUGUCUCUGCCUUCUGCCUUCUCUUUCUUCAGGCAGUGAUAGUUCAAGCUGCUGGGAUAGCACACCGUCUUACUUUGCUUUUGGUAAGGUUGUCCAGAAGUAUUUUGUGGCCAUACUUUUUUUCUCUUCCUCAUUCUGGAUUCUUUCCCUUUUCUGAACUGAAUAACCAUUUGAACUUUAUUCAUAAAGAUCACUAAAUCUUUUUCUACACUAAUACCUUUCUCAAAACCUAAAUAUAGGGGCGCCUGGGUGGCGCAGUCGGUUAAGCGUCCGACUUCAGCCAGGUCACGAUCUCGCGGUCUGUGAGUUCGAGCCCCGCGUCGGGCUCUGGGCUGAUGGCUCAGAGCCUGGAGCCUGUUUCCGAUUCUGUGUCUCCCUCUCUCUCUGCCCCUCCCCCGUUCAUGCUCUGUCUCUCUCUGUCCCAAAAAUAAAUAAACGUUGAAAAAAAAAAUAUAUAUAUAUAUAAAAAAAAAAAACCUAAAUAUAUACUAACAUGUUUAGAAUGGCCUGUAUAACAUGUCUAGUUAAGUAACAGGUGUAAGCUGACCAUUGUUUAUAAGCAUUGACAUGAAAAAAAUACAUUUCAUAGCUAUGUGUUUUAUUAGUAUAAUUUGACAUCUUCAAAUAUAAUCAGUAACUUCAUAUUAGGAUAUCAUUUCAACCAUAUUUGAUUUAGAAAGCUAAAGUUUGGAAGAUCUAAUGAUGGGCUAGUAAAUGUAUAUUAAACAUAUUGCUUAAGUUUUUAUACAUUUCUAGCAAUCAUCAGCAUAUAAUUCCAGUUUAUGUGUAAACUCAUCAGAAAUAUCACUUCAAUCUCUAGGACUCGUGUCCUCUUACUUUAUUUCUGCAUAUCCUAUUAAUAAGGAAUGAUUAAGGACAGCUUUAGUUUUCUCAGUUUCAACCUUAAAGAUGUAUAUGGUAACAAUAGCAUACUGUGUAACUGUUAAAAAAAAAUCUAGAAGCUCCUUAUGUGUUUAUAUGGAAAGAUCUCUGUUAUAAACUGGGUGUGUCUCCCAUCCCCCCAAUUCCUGUGUUGUUGAAGCCUUAAACCUGAAUGUUAUGGUGUUUGGGGAGUAAUUGGGGUUAGAUGAGGUCAUAAAGAUGGGAUCGCAUCAGGGUGGGAUCACUGUUUUUAUAAUAACAGACACUGGAAGACAUACUGUUUCUCUCUCUCUAGUGAGGACACAGUGAGAAGGUGGCCAUCUGCAAGCCAGGGAGACAGCUCUCACCAGAACCCACCCAUACUGCCACCCUGACCUCAGAUUUCCAGUCUCCAGAACUGUGAGAAAAUAAACUUCUGUUGUUUAAGCCACAUAAUCUAUGGGGUUUUCUUAUGGUUGCCCAAGCUUAUUGAUACAAUCUCCAAGAUUUAUUUGUAGGUAGGGAAAAGGGGGUGCCAAAAGAGUGUAUCGUUGGGAUGAAGAAAAGAAAAGAGUCUAUACUUGUACUGGUUUGUAUAUCCAUUCUAAACGUCCUGGGAAUAAAUGAGAAACUAAUAAUGUUGUUUACUUUUUUGUGGGGCUAUAGGAACUUGACAGAGGACGGGGUGGAAAGGAACCUUUGCUGUAUAUCCUUCUCUAUCUUUUGAUGUUUGAACUAUGUGUAUGUGCCACCACUUCAGAAAACUAAAUAAAU
rnacentral:lncRNA from 1 species